CAUAAUUUUCUAUCACUAGAGGGAAGACAAAAUGUUCUUCUUAGCGUUCAAUUUAGGCAUGUGAAAAACAAUCAGUGACACUUUGCAUAUGCAUCAAAAAAUUGUCCUGUCUUUUCUGCAUGUGAUGGUGAUUAAGCCACGUGGAACCAAGAAUUAAACCAUGAUCCAUAAGCAAAUUUCUAAUAGUGAGAGGAUUCUUCUAUGUCCCAUCACUGUCUGGAUAUUUGAAGAUUCUCUAUACAGUCUUUUGCUCCAUAUCUAAGGUUUUUACCUCUAAAAUUUGUACCAUAUCUUAGUUCUAUUUUCUCACAUUGAUAUGAUUUUAUAUUAGAUGAUUUCCUCUACCUGCAGCACAUAUAAGAACAAAUAGGAGUACUUUGGCUGAUCAGGUAUUUAUGUCAAGGGAAAUAUAAGGCUAGUUCCUCAAUCAUGUGACAGAUAUCUUAAACCUAAAGGAAAUCCUUGUAGAUGAGGGCAGGUACGUGUUAAUAAUUAAGAUCCCAGAUGCAUAGGGUGUCUGCAUCAGGAAUGAUAUUCACAAAUCCUCGUAAUUUUUAAAGCUAAAAUGAAAAAGCAAAAAAAAACAUUACCCAAUUACCCAUAAUUCCAUUCAAAUUCUAUAUAGAAUACUUAAAGCAAACAUUCAAUUCUUUCAUGCAUGAGCCACAAGGAAAAUUAUGACUUUUCUCCUUUCAUGCAAGACCCACCAGACACUUAAAGACCAAGAGAGAAGUUACAAUCUGUACAUAUAAAAGAGAGGACACUAUUUUUAAACAAGCACAAAGUUGAAAACAAGUUGGAAAGGCACUUAUGGCCAUCAAAUGUCUGGUUAGAGACUACGAGAAGGACCAACUCCAUCAUCUCCAACCUGAUCCUAAUGGCACCAAUAUGUCAUUUUUCUAAGGGUGUAGAAGGGAGUUUUUACCCUCUGUGAAAUCAUGAGUUUUACUCAGGUGUCCAAAAAGUUCAGAGGCUUCACUUGUGUCAGCUUUUUACAAUGCAAAAAGGUCGAUUCAAUGCUAUCUUACACCUUGUGGAAGAAAUGUGGCUGGUUGUGGGAAAUUCAACACUAUCUAAUUAAAUCAUCUGCAUUCAUGAAUCUAGAGGCUUAACUAUGGACAAGUAAGGAGCUAGCAUCUUUUUCUUGGUGGUAAUCGGUGGAAUCUUCAAUCUAUGCUACAAACUCUCAAGGACUAGAAGAAAUAUGCAUAGUAGUGAAAGACUGAAUGCUUUCUAUUAGUUUGGUAUACAUCAUGAAUCCAUAUACUAACUGUUCAAGUUUUUAGAAAAGUUGAUGACUCAACAUACUGUUAAAACCUCCUAUAAAAAAAACAUACUGUUAAAACCAUAGGUAAUUAGGGGCCUCAAGUUCAAGUCUCUUCAAUAGCACACCUGAGGAAGGGUGUUAUCGCUUCUCUAACGCACCAGAGGGGGGUGUUUUUGGCCUAUAUGCUUUAAUUCCUUGAUGGUAGCUAUUAGACUUGUCAACUUCAUUCUACAAAUUGGCUUGGAGGGGUGCUGUCCUACAUUAUGGCCCUUCAUCCUUUAAUUCCUUGAACUCAAUUCUUAGACUCGGUCAACUUCAUUCUACAGACUAGCAUCAAUAUAAAUAUUCCCUUAUCCGUAUCAUUCAAAACUUAAACGUAUGAAUUGCUUUGAUCAUGUGACCAUAUCAAAUGAAACAAAUUCUAGAACCCUUAGCAAUAAUAACAAUUAAUCCAUGAUCCCACAUACAAAAAAUGGUACCCCAACGGUGAAGUCACUUCAGUCAACCAACACUCAUUGAGGACAAGACAAAAUUUUAGUAGGUAGGGUUCUAAUAUGCUCCUUCCCACAUCCUUUUUGACAGUCUUUUGAUUAUACUUGAUUCCCUAAAGUAUUAAGAAAAAAAAUACUAAGAAAAAUAAUUUUCUUAUAUUUGAUUUCACUAUAAAAAAUAUAAAAAAAAAUCAAAUAUAAUUAAAAUUAGUUUAAAAUGUAUACAUUUUGAAAUAAUUCAAUCUUUAUAUAAUUAAGGAAAAUAAGUGAAAUAAAUUUAAAAAUAUAUAUAAAAAUAAAUUAUUAACUUUUAAUUCAUUUAUAAUUUUAUUUUAUUUUUUCUUUCCUUCCACUUUUCCUCUAUAUUUUCUUUCCUUCAAAAUUUCCAAAAUCAAACAAAACCUUGAGUUCAAGUUCUUCACAAGGCAAUCCAAUGAAGCAUGUGUAAGACAUGCCUUGAGGUGUGAACCAUGCACCUCACAUGUUUCACACCUCAAUGAGUAAGGCUUGGGUAAUAUCUAAUCCCCAAAGCAUAGGUCUUUGCAUGCCACUAAGCUCCUAAAAUAUUGUCAACUUGCCCAUCCGCCAAUCAUUUAUUAUGAUUCUUAUUUCAUUGAUCAUCUCACUUCGUCAUUCUUGGUUUGAAAAAAACUACAUACGCCAAAUUUGUAUGCAAGUGAGUCUACAUAAACUAAGCGCUAAAUGUAUGCAAAAAGAUAUAAUUCUCAAGUACAAGACAUUGUAAAUAACAAACUAUUUGUCCCCUCAGAUGAAUUAAUGUCACACAGAUGUCAUGGAGAAGGUGUGCUUGAUACUCAGAAGCAAAACCUAACAUGUUUUUUUUUCUAUCAUGGUUAUGGGACCUUCUCUCACGUGUCUGUCUAUGUGUACCUCCAUGUAUUUGUUCACGUGGCAGUACCCUUGCUGGACCAUGUGUCACUCCCUCCAUUACUGUCCGGACAACCAUUGAAGUACCCACAAAAGUUUAAUUUGGACCAUAUGGGUUCACUGAGCGGACAACGUCUUCCUGUCAAUCCCAAAUCCUCCCUGAUACAUGAAACGAUGGCCAUCUGACAUAGGAGUGAUUGAGGGGACCUACCUCCAUCCUUACAUCUACAUCAGUGGACUAUCACACCUUGUCCCAUACCUUCAACAAGCUGAAACGGUGGCAAGCUGCACCAUGACGCGCCGUCUGAUGAGGCCACAGCCACCCUGAACUGCAAUGAUUGCCCUGUCACCCACUGGACAAUCAUCAUUGCAGUUUAGGUCAAGGCGUCAGUUCAGCACUCCAGUGUUUUUCCCCUUGAGCACUAUAAAAACCCCUCUGAAACUGAACUUAGGUAUGCAACACCAAAUGACUCUCACAUCUUCUCUCCUCUCUAAAGGUUCCUACCCAUUUUGUGUCUAACUUGAGCUUCAGAAGGUGUGUCCAGACAACCUGUCCGGACAUCUUUUAUGCAAGGAAGAAGUUAGCCCAGUCUCUAGUUGCUGGAUUGGAACUUUCGCUACCACAAUCGAGGGAGAAAUCUAACCUCAAUUGACCCGGUAUCAACAAUGGCCGCAUUUGAACCAUGUCCAUGAUAACAGCAUAUUCUAAAGCUAGCUAGGACUCCAAUACUUGAUGCUCCAUCAUUCAAAUUAUAAUUCAAUAUACCAUUUUAAAUUGGCAAUUAUUGUCAGAGAUAUUUUAUUUUUCAGUCACAGAAGCAUCAAAUAAAGAACCUAGUAGAUGUAAUCUCGAAGCAACAAAAUCAACUUCAAGAACACUGGCACUCCCUUUUUGUUCUUAAGAAAAUUAAAGUAGCUUGGUUUUUUAUCAUAACCCUAAACUAUGUGCGAUCCCUUGAUCAGUCCCAAGCUUCCAACAUGAAUCAAUUGUGAAGCACCAUGACUUUAUAUUAUGGGAUAUGAUGCUCAAUUAAUGUCGUGACUAAUGCUAAUAUCCUAAUGCAUCACUUAUAAAUUUUAUUAACUAUCAUAUAUCUUAUAUCCUAAAAAUAUACAAAUAUGAACACAAACACAUUGUAUAAUAGUGGCCUACUAUUAUGUUAAGGGUAAAAUAAAUGAAAUAAUCCCGAUAUUUUUAAAGUAAUCCUUCUCAUGUUUGAGUCUAAAAAUGCACCUUUUUUGGACACAAAUGUCUUUCAUCUUUUCUUGUAAAAAUAACUCUCUUCCAAAAUAUAUAUGAAAAUGAUCCAAAUAUUGAAGGAAUUUAUGUGAAGAGCAUAUUACUUUUCAAGUUGAAACAUGUGAAGAGUUACUUUCACACUGUUGGGGUUAUUUCAUCCCUUGUAAGAAAAUAAUUCUCAGGUUAACGCAAUAACAUUUCCAUGAAAUCUAAUCAUCAUGAAGAUAUGAAGUCUCCUUCAAUGGGUGCACAGGUAACAUGAAGCAACCUAAACUUGUUAAUAAUUAAUUAAAUGGCAGUGAAAGUCAAAAUGAUGCUAAAAAUAGGAAUGGACUUAGGAAAAAUAUAUAUAUAUACAGGGAUUGAUUAAAAAUUAUAAUUUUCAUGAAACCUUCACAUACAGAUCUUUUUAUGUUUCAAAUGGAGCUAGCUUGCCUUGCAAGACAAUCCAUGUGUUAUUUCUAGUAUCAAAAUUCAUUAUCCUAAUGACCUGCAAUAACUCAUUUGAAGACUCAACCAUAAACAAUAAGUUUCUGAGAUUUUCUUAGUUGUGUAUAUAUGCAUAUUGUCUUUAGAUAGUAAUCAUAUCUGAAGAAUUUUUAUUUAUUUAUAAAAGUAUCCAAAUAUUAAUCAAGAUUUAUCCUAUUAUCCUACUGAUCUCUAAUUUUUAUUAAAACUAAUAUGCAACAGACAGUGCAAUGGAUUAGGGGAUGCUGAUCUGACCAGAAUUAAAAGCACAACCUACAAACGUUAAUUACUAGUCAAUAGACGUUAAUUAAUUGCUCACAACAACCCCUAAUUUCCCAAUGAAUUUCCAUUCAGAAGACACAGUAUUGUCCCUUACCUCUUUGCGAGAUCAUAUUAUAACAGAUGGAAACUUCCUUGACGCUGGGCAGAUGCACCUUUUGAUUAAAGUAAUGUUUGAUGCAAAUUACUAAAUCAUUAAAUUGACUAACAUGGAUCCGGAAAAACAAUCUAGGCAUAAACUAAAUCAAUGGAUAUUAGCAGCAAGUCACGACUAUUCAAAGAAAAAAAAAAUACUUAUAUAACCUAGCUUUAUCAUACAAGAAUUGCCUCACAUAGAAAGGCAAACAAGGGUUUGUGCUGUUCUCAAAAUAUAAUGAAAUGAAAUCACACUCAGCUACAGCUACAGCAUUAGUCAGUUAUGAACUCAGACUGACUAUUCCAUGACUACGAGGCCACUGUGUACAAAUUUGCAGCUUUAAAGCAGAAGCCCUAGCUUCUAUCUUGGAAACCCAAUACUUUGCAUCCAUACUUUGAACAAAAAAAAAAAGGGUUAAGAAAAACUCUAAAAUAAAAAGUUUAAUGAUGAGACAUAGGAUUAUGUUCUUAAAUGCUCGUACAACAGCUCUUCCAUCAAUCAUUUACCCAGUUGUUUUAAUUUCUUUCUACCUUUCUCAAAUAUGUAAAGGAUUAACAAAGCCGGCAUAGCAAAUUCUUAAUCCACACGUCAAUGGCAUCCCAGACAAGCAAAAGUAUUAUACAUGUAAAAUAUGAGUUCAAUCCGCCAUCAAAUUGUCGAAUGAACUAACAAACUUAGGCAACUAGGGCCAAUUUCAUGAAGAACCAGUCCCACUCUGCAUAUAUCGUCCCCAUUUUGUGUUGGAUAUGUCUACAAAGACAAUCUCAAAAGCACAAAACCAAAAUGUUACAGCCUUGAACCAAGCUGUCUUUUGGUCUCGGAUCUCUCACCAUCAGCAUGGACACGGAACCAAAAAUAAAAGAUCAGAUCAAUAGUCCAACCAAAGACAAAAAAAAUGCCAAAAACCAUAACCUAAAUUCUCCCGAAAGGAGGCCACCUGACCCUUUCAAAACUGCACACAAUCACAUCCAUAACCAGGCAAAUCUAAGAAUUUAUGACUCAAACACAAAAGGAGACCCAGAAGAAAAAAACCCGCGUUCAUGGCAGACAAGCAUGUACAUAGAUAGACAUGUAAGUGUAUAGAUAGAUGAGAUAAAAGAAAGGAUAGAGAAAGAAAUAUACCUAGAGCCGCUGCAGAACUCAUAAAGCUUGCCACGGUUGGAGAAAAUGAUGAGCGCAACCUCAGCAUCACACAAAACUGAAAGCUCAUAGGCCUUCUUCAGCAGUCCAUUCCUUCUUUUUGCAAAUGUCACCUGUCGAUUUAUCUUGUUCUCGAUCCUCUUCAGCUCCACCUUCCCUCUUCCCAUAUUAUCCUUGUUAUUCUUCCGCUUCUGCUUCUUAUUGGUAAUAUUGUGAUUAUUACGUUAAUAAUAAUUAUUUCAAAAUUGAAAAUCGGCUCUAAAAAUAUGGAUUCUGUGUCCCAUUUUCUCUUCUUCUUCUCUGCUAAUCUCUAGGGCUUUAGCUAGGUUUGCUGAUGUAUGAGAGGGAGACAGAGAGCAAGAGAGUAGUUUGUAUUUCUGCAACCUGGGUUUUGGUUGCUGAGCUGCCUUCGUGGGAUUUCUAUGCAGUCUGCGCACCACUAAAAAACAACACAAAUCCACAAUCCCACCCUCUUAUUUAUUUAUUUAUUUAUAGUUGUUUUAUUACCAUGGUGACUGCUGUGAUUGCUGUAUAUGAUGAGCAACCUCAAACAUCACAAACAGCGUGUCGAGAUCCCAUUGGGAGAACCCAGUUCCAUGCAGUGUUGUGACCAUGGUGCCCCUGCUCCCAUCACCAUGUUGCAGUCGCCCUCAGAAUAUGGGAUGGUUGCCCCACCCACAAAAGGCUCAUAUGUAACGGUGGAGGUACAACUCCAUUGGCGAGCCCCUGAUUUUUAUUUUUUUCCUUUUUUUUCUAAGCACGUGCCUUUGCUUCUUUCAACAUUCACCGAUCAAUGCCAAACUCUAUUCUUUGCUCAAUUCCCACUGCCCUGGGCAAUUCCUGUUUUCUCGCAUCCUCUUGUCUCCAUGCAUCUCUUUCUUUUGGCUAAGUUCGCUUCUCUGAAAGUGAAAAUACGAACAAAAAGAAAGGAAAAAAAAAAGCAUUUAUCAUGUAAAUACUAAAAGAUUUUUUUUCUUGUUUUGCGUAAAUAAAAGUGAGAAAAAGUUUGAUAAAAAUGCAUUUCAUAAUAGUUUAGGCCCAGCUUCAAAAUUAUUGCUUAAAAUGGUUUUUUUACUUUGAAAUAGAUUUUUUUUUUUUUUUUACUUUUUAGAAUAAUAUGGUACAUAAAAACAGGAAUAAAUUGAAAAAAUUAUUCUUUAUGUUUGAAUUCCCAGAUAAAAUUUUAUUCCAAAAAUAAUUAAAAUUAUUUUUAAUGGCCUUUUAAUUUCCUUUCACUCAAUUUUUCUAUAGUCAACAAAAGAAAAUUUUUAUAAUGUUUUAAAACUUUUUCUUUUAUAAUAAUUUUCAUCCUGUUUACACUCCUCGAACUUAGAAUGAACUGAAAGUCUAACAUGCCAACAUCUUGUACGUAACUUGUAAGUGUUGUGUUGGAAAUGGUUCUCAACUGAACUUCAAUCAAAUCCUUGAGUUGAAUUGAGAUUUUUCUCAUUAUGAUCAACCUGUCAAAUUUUGUUCAAAUCUUUUCCAUUGCCUAAAUGUACAAAGAAGGGAGGGUUGAAUGGGGGGCAGCUUUCCUCCAAAUGGCUAGAUUUUGAAUUCUAGUUCCUGCACAUCUUCAAAAAAUAUUCUCUCUAAAGUAAAAGUACACAGAAAUUCCUUACCUCCCGGAUGCACCAUGUGGGGUAUUUAUACUGGCUGAAUAAUUCUGAGGUGUACCUCCAUUUCAGCAAGUCCUAAAUGUUUUAAUACUCAUGACACAAAACAAUAUUUUUAACACAAAUUUUUGACAUUUCAUUGUUGUCUAUUGAGUUUUUUUCAGCAAUAAUGAAAAAAUAUUUAUAAGAAUUAAUAUUACAGUACCAACUCAAAGAAAAAUUAUUUUUCAUAUUUGAUUUCCUUUAUAAAAUUUGUUUUAGAAAAAGUUUGGGUUUGUUUGAUGAUGCAUGUUUCUAAAUAUAGUUCUUACAAAAUAAUUUUUGACAACAUUUCUAAAAAGAAACUAUUCUUAAUUACUCAUAGGAGCAAAAUUUGUUUUCAAAGCUUAAACAUGAAAAAGAGUUUUUGCAUCUUAUUCUCCAUAAAGGUGCUAAAAGUUUCCAAAAUAUUACUUGGAAUACUAACAAAAAUUAAAAAUACUUUAAAUUUAUCCUUAAAAAACUAAAGCCUAUUUUAGAACAAAUUUUUAAAAACAAAAUAUCAUUUUUCUAUUCUAAAAUUUUUUUUUUUUUUCAUUUAAAAUAAUAAAAAACAGCAACAAAACACGUUGAAGCUUCCCAAAAAUUGUCUUGAUUCAACAAGUACAAGGUUGUAGUUCUAAAUUCUGAGUAAAAAAGGAUGAAGGAAGCAAAGUUGUGGGUGGGAUAUGACCAGUUGACGCUCAAGUAUGAAAGGAAGGACCCUGGACCCGGGUCACAAGCUGUCGACAGGGAAGGAGAUAUUCACUGAAAAAGAAGACCAAAUCACAGCAGAUAUGUUACAAUGGAAUACAUUUGUACUGAAAAGGCUGAAAUUAAAAUUAUUCCAAUUUCCCAUGUCACAUAUGAAUGAAAAUAUAUAGUUAUAUACAUACAUAUAUGUGCAUGCUUGCGUGUACGUACCACGUACAUUCUACAGACUUUGGUGGAGGAGAUGAAAGGUGUGCAGAGUUACUUUUUGCGAUGUUGUUGCAUAUUUAGAGGGUGUUUGGACAUGAAAACAAAAGAAAAAGAAGGAUGGGAAAGGCAUUAAAUACCAGGCUAGACGGAUCAGAGGUGACAUUAAAGAAAGCAUCCUGUCUUGGAGUCUUUGUCAAGAUCAUUCCAACACCCACAUCCUCCCGCACGCUUGUGUCGACUUCUCAUUCGCCACCUUUCCUCACUUGUGUCGAUUUCUCAUUCGCCACCUCUCUUCACUUCUGUCGAUUUCCCAUUCGCCACCUUUCCUCACUUGUGUCGAUUUCUCAUUCGCCAGCUUUCCUCAGUUUUUUCUUCUUUCGAUUUUUUUUUAUUUAUUGUUAUGUACUUUUACUUUUUCUACAUACGUGUACCUAUAUUCCAGAAAUGAAUUUUCAGGUUUCAGUCAAGACAGUAAGUGAAAAUCAAUAUUAAUUAUAAACCUCAGUUUGAUUUUUGGAUUCUUUAUCUCCCAAUCGAUAAAAGUCGAGCUAAAUUGAUGUUGCUAAAUUUCCAUCCUUUAUGCUUUGUAAAUUGUAAUUGUUCAAUAUUUAAUGGAUUUUUUUUAUAUUUAUUAUUAUUAUUAUCAUUAUUAUAUAUUUAAUAAAGUUUACUAAAAUAGUUCAUAUAUGAUCUAAUCAAUUUUUAAAUGUACUCACUAUAGUUUGGAAUAUUAGAAAUUUUUUAACUUCAAACCUAAGUUAACUUGAGAUAAUUUGGACUUAAGGUUUAAAUCAACUUCCAUCCAAUUGAUCAUCUAAAUCGAAUCAAAUCCAUUUUAAAUAAGUUUAGUUUGAUUUAAUUUUUUCAUUACUAAAAAUUUGGUUCAGCUAAUUUAAUUUUAUUCUAAAAAUCAAUUAGAUCAUAACCCUUUACACCCCUAAUUAUAUAUAUGCAUGCAAAGAGAUGAAGGGAGGGCCUUUAAUUUGGAGUAGUUUGAAGGCAUUCAUGCUGGGCCUUGCCGGUCUGUAAGUCUAAGCUCUUUCCAAGGUUGGGCACUGAGGUAGAUCAAGUUAAGGGUGAGUUGGGUUAGUGUUUUCUUAAGCACUUCAAUCAAUGUAAAAAGGUGUUAGACUAUCAAGGACAAAUAAUAAAAAUGGUUGUAUUAGUGUUCUUAAAUUGAGAGAAGUUGGUUAGGCCUUAAUUAUGAGAAUUUUUAUAACUUAUUUCCGAGCUUGUACUGACUGAAAGGGCAGCAACUAUAAGAUUGGUAAUUAUAGACCAGGUUUUCUGGGUUGGUCCUGCUAGCAGCCAAAUCAUUGAUUAUGAUAUACCCAUAAUGUUCCUGCUUGGUUUACAGAGAAGAUGUUGACAAUGAAGAAGAAGAAGAAGAAGAUGGUAACAAUGCUUGCCAAGAGAUGUAGCAUCGCAAUCCAACAUGCUAGGAUGUUGACUAAUAUGGUAAAGAUAAUUAAAACUUGAGAAUAAGCAAUGAGACUCUUAAUAUAUAUAUAUAUAUAUAUAUAUAUAAUAUUGGUACCCUUUUUUUCAGCAACAAUAAAUUAGAAUAUUAUAUACUCUUCUUUGAUGAAAUCAAUGAAAAUAAUUUGUAAGAAAAUCAUGUAGAGUGUGUGUUUUCUAAAGUGGAAAAAUAAAAAAUAAAGCUUAAAGUGUCAAAUAUCCCACAUUACAACAGGGAGAAGCACUUUAGGCGCAUUUUAUAUUACCUUAGCCUCGUGGGAAGUCUCACGCGCCCAAGGCCCCACACACCCAUUCUAGUGGAAAUUCGAAACCUUUUGCAAUUUCAAGACAAUUGUCUUUUGAGAGAGGACUCUGCCUGUACAAGGUCUAGUACCCCUCAAUUUGUUCUCUGUUUUUAAUUUUAAUUUCUUUUAACUCUUUUUUUUACUUUGUCAUUUGGUUGGAUCAAGUCUUUCAAGUGGCUCUCCCUCCUUGUAGCUUGAGACUUGACUUGCAUCUGCUACAGUCUUCACCUCUGUCCCACCACAACCACUACCCUUGCUGCAACCAAAAUUUUGUUACAUCUAAGCCCACUAUAUAGUAGUACUCCCAUUUCAAGUCUUUUCUACUAUCUUUCUAGCUUCUUUAAAACUUUGACUUGUAUCGAGUAUCCCCUAAGAAGAGAUUCUUAACUAUUGUAUCCUACAAACAAAAUGUUGGUUUUCUACCGAACCAAAGUUGAUAUUCAAAGAGGAUGAAUCUAUUUUACGGGCAAUACUCAUAAUGUCUCAAUCAUUUUAAAUUAAUAAGUACUCUAUUUAUAAUGCCCCAAACCCAAUUUAGGGAUAAAAUAGUAAUUUAAAUAUUAUUAAUUAAUUAAAAUAAUUUAAUAAGGCUAAAAAAGUCUUUUCACAUUUAAAACCUCUAUAUAUAAAUUAUAUCUUUCCUAUAUUCUCUAUUUAGAAAACUCUUUUACACAAAUAUCAGAAAGAUCAGAGAGUAUAAGGUUGAAGGUUUGAAGGUUUAGGGCUUGAAGAUCAAUUUUUCAAGUAAGAUUUUUAAUUUUAAAAUUAAUAUUUUAUAUUCGUUAGUUUUAAACACUCUAGAUAUUAUUUGGAAUGUCUCAAUUUUGAUUAGAGUUCGUUUAAUUAAUUUCUAGGUCAAAAAGAUUAAAAAUUUAUUAACAUAGUUUGAUUUAUUAAUGGAGAUCAAUAAAUUUUGAUUACUCAAAUGAAUAGAUCUAGAUAAAAAAAAAAUUAAAAAAAUUAUAUAGUUUGGAUGUGAAAAUUACAUAAAAUUGUGAGUAUGGAGGUUAAAAGUUUUUACUUUAGAGAUGAAAAAAAAUGAUGAAAGAAGCGUAGGAAGGAUUUAACAUGUUGAAAAAAAAUAAAAAUUGCAUGGGGUAUUUGUUAAGUUUCGGUAGGAGAUUUAAAUAAUAGUAAUAAUAGUUUAAUCCAAAUAAAUAUUCUUAAAAAAUUUAUUUUAGAUAAGUUAGAAAAAAAGAAAUAAAUUAUUGUUUAGGAAGUUGAAAAUAAUAUUGAAUGAUAAUAAUAUUAAUAUGAGAAAUUAAUUAGGAUCCCUAAUACUAAAUAAAAUAUUUUUAGGAUUUUCAAAUUUAUAUGUUUGGAUAAAUAAUCAAUAAUCAAUUGUGUAUGAUAUUAUAUUAGGUGAAGAGGAAGAGUUAAAUACUUCAAGAUUUUGAGUGCUUCUUCAAGGUAAGAGAAAUUAAUGCAGAUGUUUACAAAAGAAAAUAAUUUCCUUUAUAUAUUGUAUUUUGAAAAGUGUAAAAAUAUUAUUUUUAUCUUUUUGCAUGGAUCAAAUAUGUGUUUUGUAUGUAAAAUAUAUUUGAGAAUCUUCGUUUAUUUAUGAAAAGUGAAAAAUUUUGGAGAUAUGAUAUUUUGUUUUGCAAGUUUGAAUUAAUGAAAUAAAGUGGUUGACUAUGAUUCCUAUGACCCUAGUCAAUAGGUUAUAAUUGUUGACAUUUCUAUGGCCUUAAUCAACGGGUUAUAAUAAUUGAUAUUAUAUGGCCUUAGUCAACGGGUUAUAAUAGUUGACCUUAUGACCCUAGUCAAUAGGUUAUAAUAGUUGACUUUUGGUUUUGUUCACCUUAAAUGGAACAAAUUUGAAACUAGUCACUCAUUUGUAAAGUCCCACCUAAUGGGGCACCAUUUGGUAUUUGAUAACCAAAGUAAAAUAUUUUGAAUGCAUUUGAUUUGGUUUUGAUGAGAAAUUGUUUUGAAAUUGACAUGAGAAAGUUUGUUGAAAAGUUUGAAUAUAUUAGUAUUUCGAACUCAAAAGUUUUUUUAUGAAAAUAAGUAUAUGUUAUGUCUCCUAUUUGCAAACAUGAUUGAAAAUGUUUGAUCCGUGAAACUGUAUUGAUGUUCCUUAUUGAGCUUUGAGCUCAUGCCCCUUUAUUGAUAAUUUUUCAAGUACUCUCAGUUCGGGCGAGGAGUGAUGGCUAGGCCGGGGAAAUUUUUUUUUUAUUAGGAUUUUGGUUCAAACUUUAUUUUGAACAUUGUUUAGAUGUUAAAAUUUAUUUUUCAUUUAAAUUAUUUGAAUUUGGAAUUAUUUGGACAAUAAUACUUUAGUUGAUGUGUUAAUUUUUUAAAAAAAAGUUGAUGCUUUGAGACUUUAGAAUUUUGUCAUACUAUUCUGAACAAGAAUUUGGUAAUUGGUAAAUUUCUUUCCAAUUACAAUACGAAUGUUUAUAUCGUUUCUACUUUGAGUCUUUGGGCUUGAGGUGUGAAAUGACCUUCAUGCCCUUAGAGUGGGUUUUGGGACAUGACACUAUUCUUGUUGUUUUGAGUUUGGGUUAUUUCAAAUUGUUUAUCUUAAAACCCUUGAACCAGCAUGAUUCACAUUCCCUUCGUUACACUUGUAAACCUAUUCUCUUAACUUCACUUCCUAGUAAAUACAUAUCAUUACUUGCAUCUUUUGAAUAAAAUCAAUGACAAUGAUUCACAUCCCCUUAUCCAUACUUAUUUAUUUCCCUUUGAGAGUCAUGGAUUAAUCCAAAAACAAAACUAAGAAAUUCAUUCUCCCUUGAGUUCUCUUUCGAGCCAGUAUGGAUCAUUACAUGCAUCCCACAAUUAAAAUUAAUGGAAAUGAUUCACAUUCCCUUUAUUAGACUUGUUAACUUGCCUUAAGGAAUCAUGGAGCCCACAAAAAAUUUAAGAAAUUGAUUCUCUUAAAAAGGAGAAAAGGAUUCCUUGGACCAAAUGAGCUUAAGGAAUGACAUUCAAAUUCCUCGAAAUAUAUUAAAUAUUUUAAAAUAAAUAAUUUAAUUAAAUUUAAAUACUAAUAUUUGAACAUUAAGAUAUUUAAAGUCAUUAAAUUAUUUAAUAUACUUAAAUAAUUUUAAAAUGACUAAAAUUCUCUAAUAAUUUAAUAUAUUUAAAUGUUUUUAAAUUCAUUAAAAUUUUCUUAUAAAUAAAAAUAAAUUUAAAAUGUUAUUUACAAAAUACAAAAUACAAAAUCAUAUUAAUAUAACAUCAAAAUAGGAGUUAUUUGAAAAAAAUGAGAUCAAUGUAUUUCAUUAUGAUUUCUUAUUAUUAAAUAGCUCAAAAUCAAUCAUUUUCAUUCUUAUUCCAUUUGUAAUAUUUACGCAACACUUGAAUGAAUUUUUAAUUUUAAUUUUGUUCCUUUCAUUCACUUUUCUUCACAUCAAUAAACAUUGUUACCAUAAUGUGAUCAAGGUGAAAUUUUCGCUUAUAUAUAAAUCUUAAACUGAUCUAAUUUGAGAAUGAAGGUUACAAUAUAUAUUAUAUGUUGCACAAUCUUGCAUAUAAUUAUAAGGAAGUCCUCUUCAUAGAUGUGGUAGUUGGUAGUUGAUCAAUCAUUUGGCAUUAUAGUAUUAUCAUUAAACUAUUUGAUGCAAAUAAUUUAAUUGAUAGUGAUGGAUGAUCUUCAAAUUAAGGGUCAUCUGGCUCUAGUUUUAGUUGACAAUUAUAGCUAAAACUAAAAUUUGGCAUGCUAAUACACAUUGCCCGACGAAUGUGUGUUAGUGGUAGAAAGUUUUAAAAAUAUUUAUAAUUUCUUUUAUGAAAUGCAAAUCAAUGGCCUAUUAGCUCAGUUGGUUAGAGCGUCGUGCUAAUAACGCGAAGGUCGCAGGUUCGAGACCUGCAUGGGCCAUUUUGGAUUUUUUUUUUCUCCCUUUAGUUCAUUGGCUGGUGAUCACAUGUGUUGGAAGGAAGUUUAGUUCUUGUUUCCUCAAAACUUUUGCUUUUCUUCCUUUUUUUUUUUUCUUUUGUGUGUUCAUGUUUCCUCGUUGUUUUUGCUUUUCCUCUUUCUUCUUUUCUUUUAUGUGUUCAUGUUUUCUCGUUGCCUUUUUUCCCUCUUCUCAUUUUUAUUUUCUGUGUUUAUUUUUCUUUCCUUAGUGUGUUUUAUUUAUUUUGAAUUCAUGUUUUCUCAUUUUUAAUUUUUCUUUUGUGUGUUCAUGUUAUGUCAUUGCCAUCCAUAUAUUUAGAGAUAUAUUUCUGUGUGAAUGUGUUGUCAUUGCUAUUUUAUGAUAACUCUUCUGUUGACUUGUGAUAUUAAUCUUUAUGUUUCUUUUCAGGGGUCUUUUUGCAUGCCCAUGAAAAAAAAUUAUUAGUAUUUGUUCCCUUUCGUACUGGUGUUUAUAUAUAUAUAUAUAUAUUUAUUAUUCUGUAAUGAUUUCCCAUGUGGUGAGUUGUAGUGUUGUCCUUAUGGUGUUUUGUUGCAGUGACUGCUUAUGUCUUUACCAUUCAAUCAUUUUCCAUAGAUGGAAAGCUACAGAGAAAUGUAAAUGAGAGUCACAUCUGAUGAAGAACUGGAACCCAUAAGAAUUGUUGGAGAAAAAUGAAGAGAAGUACUACUUCCUAAUGCUGCAGCCAUAUGAGAUGAGUUUUGCUUUGAAUUACAUGAUUGUACUCGUGCGCAACUGAAGAAUGAACAAAGGAGAAAAGUUAAAGAGUUUAUCUAGUCUAAUCUAAUGUACAUGUAGGCGAAAGAUCUUUUUCAUGGAUGGUAAGACUUAAGAGCAGCUAGCAAGCAGAACAUGUGAAGGACAUGAAAAGCUUCCUGAUCCGCUUCUUCUCUUAAAAUCAGGUUUCCGUAUCUUUUUUGGGAUGUGAUGUAUAGGCCCAUUGCCCAUAUCAAUAUCUGAUGUUUGAGUUGAUGGAAUGGAUCAGAGAAGCAGACCACAUGCUUUGUAAGUUUAUCUCCAGACCUUAUCAUAGAUGAUAGCUAGAUAGCCAAUUUUGAAAUUUUAAAAUAUUAAUGAUAACUGGAUGUUGUGUAAAGCUCAUCUUCUUCUCCAGCUAGCUAGCUCUAGUUAAGAGACAGUGGUGGUGUCCCAUGGGGGAGAGGAUGUCAGAUGUGAUGUAUUUUGUGUUAAGUGGUAGAAUAUUUUGUAGAGAUAUAGAAUAGGCAUACCCACAUGCCCUAUGAUCUGUAUAUUUCCUCUGGAAGCCUUUAAACAACACCAUCAAGCCAUAAAAAGUAACACCUUUUUCCAAGGGACUUAGAUUAAAGGGCACUAUGUGUGUAGCUAGUGUUGCCACGUACGUUUAGAGAGCUUCGUUUUAUGGUACUCUAAAGGGGUGGGAGACAAAGCUGAUUAAAACAGAGGCCUGCUUUUGGAGUAGUUCCCCCCCUUUCUAUUUUUCUUCACUUUUGAGUACAGAUCACCAUGCACAAGCCCAUGAAUCCACACACCGAAUAGGUUAGAUCUUCUUAUCUUAUCUCAUCUCAUCUAUCUUCUUCUCUAAGAAAGCUUGUAGUUGAGGGCACCCCCUCCCCCCCCCCCCAACCCCCCGGGGCCAUUAAAGUUUGCAUGCCAAGAAUCAUCGUUAGGGGCCUCCAUGCAUGGUUUGGAUUGAGUGACAUUUUUUGGGAAAUGCCCCAUAUUUGUCCCACCAGGAAGGCACCAAGGUUGGGUUAAUGGGGGCCUAACCCAUUGGGGGGGGCCCUGNNNNNNNNNNNNNNNNNNNNNNNNNNNNNNNNNNNNNNNNNNNNNNNNNNNNNNNNNNNNNNNNNNNNNNNNNNNNNNNNNNNNNNNNNNNNNNNNNNNNUUAAAAAAACCCCACAAACCAAAAAAAAGAAACCCUUUUUCCAAGGGAAUUUAGUUUAAGGGCCAUUUUGUGUUUAGUUGGGUUUCCCAGGUAGUUUUAAAAAGUUUUUUUUUUGGUUUUUUAAAGGGGGGGGGAGAAAAAGUUGUUAAAAAAAGGGCCCGGUUUUGGGGGUAUUUCCCCCCUUUUUUUUUUUUUUUCAUUUUGGGGUAAAGUCCCCCAUCCAAAACCCCAGAAUUCCCCCCCCGAAAUGGGUAAGUUUUUUUUUUUUUUUUUAUUUUCAUUUUUUUUUUUUUUAAAAAAAGUUUGUAUUGGGGGGCCCCCCCCCCCCCCCCCCCCCCCCCCCCGCGCCAUUAAAGUUUGCAUGCCAAGAAUCAUCGUUAGGGCCUCCAUGCAUGGUUUGGAUUGAGUGACAUUUUUGGGAGAUGCCCCAUAUUGUCGCAGCAGGAGGCAGCAAGGUUGGGUUAAGUGGGGCCUACCCAUUGGGGGGGCCCUGUACCCAAAAUCAAGGCCCUUGAGGGGUUGCAACUGGUCAAAAAUGUACCCUGCUAGGGCAGCCUUAGGCAGUGGUGGGUCAGUGUCUACACACAGCUAGCCUCGAUGAAAUGGAUCCAUCUUCUCAGAGAUCAGGGAUCCCUCUUCAUUUGGAUUCACAGUUUCCAUCUCUGCCAAGUCCACGCCAUAUACCAACUCCAUUUUGUUCAGGGGCUCUUGUGAAAAAGGGCACAAGACCUUCAACUUAAGGGCAUGAGAUGGGACUCUUGAAAAAUCCAUGGCCAUGGAAGGUAACUUUUGAAAUGCUUGGUGCACAUUAAAAGAAAGCAACCAAACAUGCACCUAUCCAAGUAGGAAUUGGCUAUAGCGGAUGAAGACGCCGCAUUGGUUGGCAAUUUAUGCAUCCCGACAAGUGUUCGAUAGCCAUUGGCACGGCAUUCUGAUCUUAACAGGCUGCCUAACAACCCAAAUUCAUGUGGCCACCAUCAAAUCCACUCCCUACUCCUUUCCUGAAGUGGGCCAUUCAUGGACCUCUGAUUUGGGGCAUAUUGUAUACCUGGUUAAAUGAUCUUGUUCCUACUUCCUCACCCUCCCAUUAAGGCAUGCUUUCCUCAAUCAGUAUGGCUCAUAUUAGAAUGCGUAUCCAUGUCAAUAUAGCUUAGUAGGUCAUCGCCUCAUAAAUAGAGGAAGCUUCGUUAUACAUAUCUAGGCACUAGGCGCACUCCAAUGCUUGGACUUGCACACCCAACUAGACUGCAAUUUUUGUCUGCACUGCAUGGGUUGGCUUGGGCCUCAAAGAAAGUAAAUUAUGGUCCAUGCUUGGAAAUUGAAGGGCCAGUGGUCCAUGUGAACAAUUCAAUUCAAAGCACAAUUCUAAGAUGUUGAUAAUUUCCAUUAUCUCCCUAACUGAUCAUGAUUUGUCUUAAGACUUGAGCAGUGCCUUCACAACCACAAGGCCUACUCUGAGUAUGCAACAAUUUAUGCGCUCUAACUCAAUCAGUGGCCGUGAAGCCAUAUAUGUUACAACAAAGUCUUGUUGAGGAUGGUGACACUGAAGAUCUUAGCCUCAAAGUCAGUCGGUCAGUGGGCAUGUGAUGGUGAAGGGGAAGGGGAAGGGAAAGGGACUAUCUGAUCAUUAUCCACAUUACGAUGGAUGCCAAAAAUUAAGCAAUGACUUUAGUUUAGUACGACUGUCACAAUCGUCUGGCUCCCCGCUAGAUAUGCUCACAUCAAACCCAAAUGCCAGCACACAUAUAUGCCACAAUUAUCUAUUUGCUAGCACUGCACACGUGUGGUCGAUCGAUCUGCAAUGCCUGCACAGAUGGAGCAUCGGUACCUCAGGAACAUCAAGAAAUGGCGCUCAUCUUUUGAUGGGCCAAACCCAAUAUCUCGUAAGAAAGCUGUUUUACACUAACAACAUAUCUAGCUUACUUGUUUACACAUAAAAGAAGUCCUUGCAACACAAUCAUGUCUCGUAGCUUUGGUGGGACUCCACAACAUUGAUUUUUCUUUGCUUCUACACGGAUUUUAAUUUCAAGCGCGCCUAGUGAAAGGAAACGAAUCAGAACGAGACAUAACAAAGUCCAUAAGAUGCAGACAUGUUUCCUCAGUACUUCUAUAAGAAAAGGAUCAAAACCGACCCUUUAAAAAAAAAAAAUCAGUGUACAACUUGUUGGGACGUCAUUUGUUUUUAUUUUUGGCUCUGGCCAGCCAUACCACCGAACUGUGCCAAACGGGGGCAUCACAGUCGGAAUGGGCCAGGACCAGAGUGGCCUCCCCAGGAUUCGAACUUAGGUCCUAGCCCAGAUGGUAGCAAGAGGGCAACGUCCUAAGCCUUAAGGCCUACAGUAGCCCAGAUGGUACCAUGAGGGCAACUUCUUAAUCCUUGUUGCAUUUUGAGAGCUCGGAAACUAAACCCUUUGUUACUAGUAUUGGAUUUUGGAUGUUAUUUUUUANNNNNNNNNNNNNNNNNNNNNNNNNNNNNNNNNNNNNNNNNNNNNNNNNNNNNNNNNNNNNNNNNNNNNNNNNNNNNNNNNNNNNNNNNNNNNNNNNNNNCCAGAUGGUACCAGGAGGGCAACGUCCUAAGCCUUAAGGCAUACAGGACCCAAGUUCGAAUCCUGGGGAGGCCACUCUGGUCCUGGCUCAUUCCGGCUGUGAUGCCCCGUCUGGCACAGUUCGGUGGUACGGCUGGCUAGAGCCAAAAAUAAAAACAAAUGACGUCCCAACAUAAACGUCGGCCUUUUUUGCUCUGGUCUGUGGGAUGCUCGGGUCCGAAGACCUCAUGUUUGCCCGCACAGAGCACAAAGUCUUAUGGGGCCAUUUGUUUAUUUGGCCCUUGAAGGGUGACGUCCCCAGGAUUCGAAUUCAAGACCUUAGUCUUUGUGGUUGCCUUCCUGGUACCAUCUGAGCUACCGAGCGUAAACUGGGAAAAUGGAGAUGAUGUCCGCGAUGCAGUCACCGUCACGGCACGGGUAUUGCUAGCAGAAAACCCUAGAACCUCACUCACAGACGAAGAUACGCAAAAGGCUGAAGAGAAAGCACUACCGACAGAAAAUGCAAGAGUGAAGGACUCGGUCUGCUAUUUAAAACGAGAGACAGCCCCUCGGUAUUCUAACUGCUCAGCCGCACCAUUAUUGAAAAGACACGCUGCCUGGGAAAUCCCAGAGACGACGGCUCAUCAUAAAUGCUCUUGUUCCUCUUCGCCUCCGCACACCACGUGGCCUAAUGAGCGUAGAAAGUAACUUCAGUUUAAAAAACAAUCAUUUUUAACCCACCCAUUCUGCCCGGGCAAAAUCAGCAAGUUAAAAGGGGGGCAUUGUAGGGACUCCUCCCCCUGAUGACACAUGGCGCGCUCCCCUAUCGGGACUCCCUCAGGGAGAAGUACACGGCACUUGCAAACAUCACAUCUGGAUGAUAGCAUAUCCUAUCCGGAUAUGUUGUCCGGAUCGUUGACUAAAGUGAGCAAGUCUUACUACGUCAUUCUAACAACCUAGCAUAGCCCACGUUCCGCCACCUGUAGAGCGAAAGGAUAGAAAUGAUGACAAGUCACCUCCCACGAUCUCUGACAGCCGCGUCGCCUCUCACAAUCUCUGAUAGCCGCCCGUAUGGUGAUGAUGGCCCUGCCACCACCUAGAGACAUCAUGACGAGCCAAAAAGUCUCCCUACCAUUAAAGAGGGAGGCAGAGAUUCUGACACUAUAUAUAUGGACCUUCACACAAGGAGGAAGGUAAGUUUGCUAUACCUAGAAAAAUGUCAACUGUUUGAUCUCUCUAUCCAUGGCUGACAAAACCAUCGGAGGGUGUGUCCGGACACCCUGUCCGAACAUCUUUUGCAGGGACAACUGAACCAGAACUCAAUCUUGGUUGAAAGCGUGUAUCCACUUGACAGCUACGUGGAUCAUCGGGACGCUAGGCCUCAACACAACUUACUAACUUAGAUUGAUUAAUGAUAUGUAGUGCUUCAAACAUACACCCCGCUACCUCUUAACUGGCCUCUUUUGAUAUCAAUUAGCAUUCUCAUUAAUUAUGAAUUCCCCAGAUGAAAAAUGAAAUUAAUUUGUUAACUCACGUUAAAAUGAAUUCAUCUGACUCCACAUUCAACCAGUGGAAGUGGUAACUUUAUAGAAGCGAUGAUGGCGGUGCGCAAGUCAAAAGAUAUGGCAGCUGGGGACUAGUUUGAGUGUAUUUUAUGGAAGAGUGAGCUCCAAGCUCUGAAAAGGAGCGUGGGAUCUACCACUUGUCUAACACUCUCUAAUGAGUAAUGAGAGAUCAACUCAGGAAAAGAUAAAACGCUAGUACAUGGCCACAUAGCAGACACCACUCGGAAGGAAAUCCCACUAAAAAUGACUAGAAGCCGAGAAUCCAAGGAAACACACAGCUAUUUGCCCCCCACCACCCACAACACAGCUACUGGUUUUCACAGUAUGAUAAGGAUAAAAGCUUGGUUUCCCCUCUGCCCCACUCUAUUCCUCUAUCUAAGUAAAGCACAAAUUCACAUCAAUCCAUGUGGGUCUCUAGUCUCUCUCUGAAAUACUUGUAUUAUACGGUGCAAUUGAUGGUUAUAAAGUCACUCUUACCUCCCACUACUCUCAAUCAUUUCAAACCCCAUUCGCUCUCCUAUCACUACAAAUCCCUCCUUUUAUGCUUUCCCUUGCCUCCACCUUUCUUCCCAUAAAUACCUUCUCCACCUUUGGCAUAUUUUUCAAACAAUUCAUUUCAUACCCCAUAUAGCACACACUCCCGCACCCAUGUCUGUCGCAGCUCUUUCAGAGGCAGAUAAAAUUUACAAGAAGUCCUUCCACCGGAGGAAUGAUUCUGGCGAGCUUGAUGUUUUUGAAGCUGCAAGGUAUUUCUCCGGCGGCAAUGAAAUUAUUGGGUACAAUGGUGCAGCUUUUCCUCAGAGGAUGAUGAUGAGAGAAGAGAGGCAAGGUUGGAGAGGAGGAAGAAUUAGCUUGGAUAUGCCGAUGAGGAGCUCGCUACCGACACAGUCAUCUCAUGCUGUGGAAAAACAAAUGAAAGAGAAGAUCAAAUACAAACAACCCAGCUCUCCUGGUGGCAGACUCGCUAGCUUCUUGAAUUCUCUUUUCAAUCAAACAAACUCCAAGAAGAAGAAAUCAAAGUCCACAGCACAGUCGAUCAAGGAUGAAGAGGAGAGCCCGGGUGGGAGGAGGAAAAGGAGGAGCAGCAUUAGCCAUUUCCGGAGUUCCAGCACUGCUGAUUCCAAGUCCGUGUAUUCUUCCUCAAGUUCUGGCUUUAGAACUCCCCCUCCUUAUGCAAAUACUCCCACAAAGACCUACAAGGAUCUCAGAAGCUAUUCAGAUCACAGGCAAGUGGUGUCUCUCCCAAACUACAACAACGGCAAUGUAAAAGCUACUGGCUUACGAAACGAGGCCUUGGACGAGAAGAGAAUCAAAGAGUUGGUUUGGCUGGACGAGAAAUUCAAAUUCAGCAGUGGGUUUUCAGAGAAACACAAAAAUUUCAGCAACGGGCUUUCAGAGAAAGAUAGGAUUUGGGUUGAUGAGUAUCCAUCAGAGGAGAAGGAAUUCAGAAAGUUGGAUGAGAUUGAUGCCGGUGCGGAGAGUGAUUCAAGCUCUGAUCUAUUCGAGCUGCAGAACUAUGACUUGGGUUGCUACUCAAGUGGCUUACCCGUAUAUGAGACCACCCACAUGGACAGCAUCAAGAGAGGAGCACCCAUUUCCAAUGGCCCCCUACCCCUAUAAUAAUUCUGUAUAUUUUUCUCCUCCUCAUUCAUGAUCACUUCUUUGCUCCAAUUCAUGUUGAUUGGAAGUUGCGAGAAGGCCAAAAAAAAUGUUGAGUUCUUGUCAAAUAGUUUCCUUUUUUUUCUUUUUCCCUUUUUUUCCUUUUCUGUUGCAGGCUCUUGAAAGUUCCUCCACUUCUUUCUCUGUAUGUACAGUUGGGAAUGUCUGCUUGUCUUCCAUUUCCGUUUUUUGUUUUUUAACCUUCAAUUGCUUUUAGAGGUAUGCUUGUGGAGUGCUGGAGCAUUGGAAGUCCACCACUGGAAUUGCUUGAUUAGACUGCGGGAUGAUUUAGAGACCUUCCACUAAAUUAAUUGAGAUAUAAAGUAUGGAUCAUCACCCCAUGUGGACUGCAUCUAUUCAUCUUUUUGACUUAUUUCAAGCCGCAAUCAUAUAUGCCCACAUUAAUUAAUAGUUCACGCCUGCACGUGUGCUUGAUCCAAUUAUAACCAAACCCAUCAAUAACUUGUAUAUAGGGUUCUUCUCCUCAUAUUUGCACUACUUCAUCAAGAACUAAUGGUACUGGCCGGUUAAUUUGUCGUGGGGGCAUGAGACUAGCUCUAUGACAGUGAACCCCAUUGAAAAAAAAAGAAGAAAAAAGAAAAGUUAAAGAGCUCUAGGGUCGACAUAAUAUCUCUUCCAUAUUGCACUUUUUUAUCUUAACCCAAAUAAUGAGGUGGUUGAUAUUGUGACUGUCUAAUCAAGAGAUCAGCAUAGAAAGGGAAGUAAGGCUUAUUCUAUUAAUACAUAUUCUUAGUACAAUAGAGGGCCAUUCAAGAUUGUAUUGAGAUAAGUUAAGGCAUGGCCUAAAGGCAAUCAGGAUAUAUAUAUAUAUAUAAACUAUAAAAUAAGGGAUAGAGAAAUCUUGUGUGGGAUUACGAAUUAUUACCCUGGAGGAAGUGAGAAAACAUGAAUAUUCUAUGCCUUCCAUCAUUAUUGGAUUAGGGUUUGUGGAAAGGGUAGGCCUUGGAUGUUUUAAAAUGUCGGGUACUGACCCUUGCUUUUACUGAUUUCUGUCAUAUAAAGCAAUGGUUUAACCCCAUUCAAGGAUCGUAAAAGUCUUUUUGAAAUUAGCAAGGUUAUAAUAAUAGUACUCAAGGGCACUUUCUUUUGAAAAAGGAUGAGAGAGAGAGAGAGAGGAGAUGACCAUACCAUUGAACAUAGAUUUUUAGCUACUCUAAUUAUAUGUUGCACAUUCAUUUUUCAAACCAAAAUUAAUCUCUCAUUGAUGCACUUCCAAUUAGUUGUGCAUUUGAAACUACUGUUGACUUAACUUCAUAGCCCAAGUUUGAUAUCAUCACUUCUUUUGAAAAAGAGGUGUCUCCUUGUCUAACCAAAGUGAGUACGCUAGAACUAAGGCCAUAAUGAUCGAAUUUUGGAGAAGUAAUGCCAAACCCAUUAUCCAACAGUUUAAACUUUCAGGUCAAAAAGAUAAGAUACCGGUCCAGCAGGUAUUUAAAAGAAAGAAAUAUGUACAAGAAAUGAUGCACAAGGGGCAAAAGGAGGCCAGUAAAGCAGGGGACAAAUUGAGUGGCCGAAGGGCCCAAAGCGUGUGAUUAUUCAAAGGUAUGUUUUGUUAACAAAGUUGGUUAUGCCCAUACGUUACGCCCCUGCGCACUACAUCAGCGGCUUGUGCGCCAAAAAGAAAAAGAAAGAAAGGGAAAAAAUAAAGAAGUCCCCAAAAAAAAAAAUCAUCUUGGUGGGAUGAUUUUAACCAUAUUCCAUUUCAAAGUUUGAGACCAAUUCGUUAUACCUUCGAAGAGGUAAUCAGAAAUUAAUGUGGUUGGCCAUCGAUCUUCACUUUAAUUUUGGACCCUUUCAUCUGGUGGCUCUAAUUGUUUUCUAAUGCUUGUCUGAUCCCUGACCCACUUCUUGGAAAGUUAAAACAACAAGGGGGCACAGAAACCAUCAGAUCCUGAGGCUGUUAGUUCAGUUUCCCUUGUUUUGUAACUUUUGUACAAGUUCUAUUUGAAAACACACCACUACAACUACCCCUUUUCAAAAUCAACUUCCCAUAUUCUCUUCUUCAAUCACCAAGUACAACAUAUGACAGUCGACACAUAUGGGUUUUAAUACAUCUUAUCCUCAGUCCCAGAGACAUGCAAAAACAAGAAACUAAAUUCUGUUUGCUAAUCCCAUUAAUUGCAACCUCAAACCUUUUUCUACCUCGUAAUAAUUGCUUAGAAUUCUACUUGCUUUGAGAUAGCGGGCCCAAAAAAGGACAAAGACGGGUAAGUUGUUGCUAAAUAAUGAUGCCACUUUCAAAUUUAUGAUUUUUUUAGACCUUACCUUUUCUUUUACCAAGAUCCCGUUCACGAGGGAUUGGAUUGGUUUAAAACCACGUCCUAACGUUUGGAGGCACUUUCUUAUUGAAAUUACAACAUUUAGCAAAUUUUAAAAAAUAAUUUAAAGUGAUUUGAGUGGGAUGAUCCUACUUCUUUCAUAAUUACUAUCAAAGGACUCUAAUUUAGAGUCAUUUUAUUUGGAAAUGUAAUUAAAACAUUUUUCUUUUUUUGUCUAUUACAUAUUUUUAUCUAUGAUGAUGCUUUUAUUAAUAGUUACUUUUAUCAUGGACGCCGCUUGCAUCUAUGAUUUGAAUAUAUACAUGUAAAAAAAAGUUUGAGUUUGAUAAUAUUUUUGAAAUUGUAUUACAUGUGAAAAAAAGAAUGUUUAAUUUUUUGAAGUUUAGGAAAUAUAUAAUAUAUGUAAAAAUAGGCUUCUAAAUAUUAGAAAGUGCAUUUAACUUUUUCAAGAUGACUUUUAAUGGGAUUCUUAAUUAAUUCAUAAUUGUUUAAUCUUUGAACAAUUUGGAGAUUUUUAUUCCUAUAAAUUCAAUAGUAAAAUCUUAUCAAGGAGCAAAUUUUGAUUUGCUGGAAUCUUUAAUUACAAUUAUUGAGAGAUUUGUGUGAAUUUAUCUACCAUAAUUGAUGAUGGCCCAUCAAUUAUAAAUUUUAAUUUAAUUUCCUUUUUGCAGGCCUACUUGGAUGGUUUUGGCACCACAACCACCACUGUCCUCUGCCUCGCUGAUAAAUUGAGGCCAAGUCUUCUCAUUUUGAUUUGGCUCGAGUAUGAAAGCUGAUCUAAUUGGUUAUAUCUUCUCCACAAAAUCCAAACCAUGUCAUCACUUUUCUCUCAAAACUACAAUGAUUGCAAAACCAAUAUUCCUAUCAUAUAAUAAUUUCAGGGCCCAAUUUUUCUAACACUACCUUUGGUUACCAAAAAAAUAUUUAAGAAAGAGAAAAAAAAAAAAAAGUAUUUUUACCUUAAAAAAUAAAAAAUAAAAAAUAAAAAAACGGAAUUACGAAAAUAAGUUGAAGAAUAAAAAUAACAUAUUAAUUAUAAAAUAUGCAGCAAGGAGUUAGAUAAAAUUUUAUAUAAUAUAAUACGGUAAUUGUGGAAGGAGCAGAUGAUGCCGUAGAAUUUCCAACCAAAGCAAGAUGGGCCUGUUGGAAACUUGGAAGGAGUCCUGACUCCUGAGAGACACUAGAAUUAAUGUAGACACGAAAACAAGUCCUUAUUCUACAUUGCAUUAAUUGGCAAUGAUACUAACUUCCCGAUAAAAAUGAUGGAUCAAAAAGUCUUGGGAUCCGUGUGACGUACAAUGUUAUACCAACCAAAAAAAGGUUUAAACGGUGUUUGAAAGUAAUUUAUUUUCAGGUGUUUUAUUUUUUUAUUUUUUUAUUUUUUUAUAAAUUAUUAUAAACUUUUUGUUAUAUAUAAAAAGUCAAAGUGGUGUUUAUUUUUUUGGCUUCUUAUUAAAAAAAUUUAAGUGGUUUAUUUUUUAAUUUUUUUUAUAACUUAUUAUAAAUUUUUUACUAAAUAAAAAAAAUCAUAAUAUAUAACUUUUUUUAAAUAAAAAAAUAAUAUAUUAAUUUUUCAUUAUUUUAUAAUACUUAACAGAAAUAAAAUACUAUAAAAAUAAAUAACCUAAUAUUUAACACUAUUAAGCAUUAAAUUUUUAUUUAGAAUUAAGUUAAAAAAAAAAAAACCAAACACCACCAAAAUAUUUAAUUUUUUUUUAAAUUGAAAAAAUAACAUAUUGAUUUUUCUUUACUUUUUAAUAUUUAAUAAAAAUAAAAUACUACAAAAAUAAAUAACUUAAUAUUUAACCCUAUUAAACAUUAAAAUUCUAUUUAAAAUUAAGUAAAAAAAGAAACACGACUUUACCCUAAUCUUAUUAAUUAAUUGGCAAUCAAAUGGGUGUCACAUAGGCACAUAUAUGAUAUAUGAUGGAGAGACAAUGCUUGCUGAUCCCAACAGGCCCAACACUUUUGUCUAGAAAGGAGUCAGGAUUGGAAAUCGUUUCGUAAUUCCACCAUGGACCUUGGAAAAGCAGCCCAUUGAAUUUGAAUAGACCAACAGGCAGAGAGGCCUAACCCUAAGGUCCCUAAGCUUCCACUCUGGCCCAUGAGUCUUGAUUAAGCUGGGAAAGUGGUGCCCCACCCACCCCCGCAUUAAUGUGAAGCUUCACAAUCACAAUCACGCCUAGUAGCAAGUAGCAACAAAACCCACAAGCUAAUAACAUGCAAAUACAUGUCUCUUGUCUCAUCACAAAGUCCCAAUCCAAUCAACUUAGCUGUCAUCCCAGUACUUUUCCUCUUCUUUCCAAAACUUUGCAGGUUGCAUCUGAAAAUGACUCAGACGACUCGACCGCAGACUCAAUAUAUCUCCACCAAAUUUAAAUCCAGUUGCUUACCACAUAUGAUGCAUGUUUCACAAGCUAGCCAUCAAAGCAGAUUAGAAAAAAGGCCUUCCUGCUUGCAUGCAUGACUAGGAUGACUACGACCCUCCUCCAAUUAUGCCAAAAAAUGGAUCAUCCUUUUCCACCAAUGGAGACCUCCUCCUCCUUUCUUUACAAGUGUCGUUAAUCCGUUGUUAUGAACCUGUGGGGGACGUGGCCCCCAUAAUUAGCACGCGGAUACUGCAAAAUGUGUGGACGGUUUGGGAGUCAUUUAUGAUUUAUCAGCCUCCCUAUGUGAAAGAUGGUGACGGCAGGUCUAAGCCUUCUUGGUGAUGAUUUGAUGUAUAUGAACAAUCCAUGCCCUUGAGCCUUAUCCCUUGUUGCUUGAAUGUAUUAUGUUUUGAAUGGAUGAAUAGAGUGGUGGGGUUAUGGGAGUAAGAUGUGACAAUGUAUGGUUAGGAGGUGAAAGCGGUUGUUGAAACAGGAGGUAAGGAGCUAAUCAUGACGGUCAAAUAUGGGGGCACACAGGCCUCGGAGAAAAUAUGUGGACCUUGUUCUACGGUAUAUUCUCUAACCUAUUAUCUCCUAAUCAUCACUCCAAUUAUUUGGUGUCCCUCCAUGAAAACGUAAUAAAAUGAUUUGGUCCAUUAUUAUCCGCUUCACCCUGGUAAAUUUUGGAGCACAAGACUUUUUUGGAACUAUUUACAUUAUUUGAUUCUCUAAGUUUACACUAGUCAAUCUAUGUGCUCUAUUUUAUUAUAACCCAAUUCCUUAUAAUUUAUUUAAUUAACUCUUUUACUUGUGUCAAUUUGAUGGUGUUUUAAUCAAUUUUUAUUAAUUUUUUUAUAUAUAAUAAAAUCGCUAUAAAAUAAUACUCUUGGGACUAGUAGAAAUUACUAUCUUAGUGGAGUUAUUGAUGUACUGAUAGAUGAAUAAUUUAUUAAUUUAGAUGGAUUAUUAGGUUUAUAUUGUACAAUACUUAUACAUAUAUGAUUUAUAAAUACAAAUAUAGUGAUGUCGUUAGUGGUUAAUACAUAGAAGUCUAAGACAUUUCAAAAAGAGAAGAGAUAAUUACUAAUUAUUGAAGAUAUAAAGACUUGUAAAAGGAAGAGCUUUUGUAUCAAAACUUAAUAGUCUAGCUAUAAGAUGAUAAAUAUGCAUAGACUUUGAAAAAGAGUUGAAUUGAGAAAAAUGAAAAUUGUAAAAAAAUAUCAAUCCUGUAUUAUGAUUUUUGUUUAUUAUUUUUUAUUAACUUCAUCAAUUAUUAAUUUAUAUAAAAAAUUAUUAUCUUAUAUAUGUAACAUAAUUAUUAAUUUAAUAUCAAAAAAUGUUAUUAUUUGAACGAAGUUACUGAUGUAUUAAAUCAACAUUUAUUUAUUAGGGGUUUUACUAUACUAUCAUAAUCUCAUAUCAUACCAAUAUAAUAUAAAUUAAGCUUAUUUGGUAGUGAAAAUACAUAUAUGUUUUUUCUUUUUGAAGCAGCUUGCAGCAUGUAUAAAUAUUGUUAAUUAUUAAGGCUUACAUUUGUUUUUUCAAAUAUGAAAAAUAAUAUUUUGAAGUUUCUUGAAAAUAAGACGGUUUCCUCAAUUUCUAAAAAAUAGAAAAUAAUUUCCUUUUCUUACUAUAAAAAAUAAAGAAGGAUAAAGGAUAAAAGAAUCCAUGCAUCAAACAUGGCAUAACCGUAAUUAAUGGAAACCCAUGUUCGCCAAUCAAGGAAAGAAUAUCCAAAAGUUGAACUCGUUAAAAGAGGAAGCUGAUUCAGUUGUUAAGCUGUUAAGUUGUAAGUUGUAAGCAUGUGUACGCCCUGUAUAUUAUGACCCUAAUCAUUGUUUCUUUCACGUGGGAAAGAAUAACUUGGCAAACAAGUAAAAAGGAAUUCGUGCACUGCCCUCAUCAAAUGGUAUCAUUUUAGUAUCUAUCAACUCUACAACACCAUCAAUCACAUGAUUUGUAUCUCAGAUUUUUUAUUUUUUCCUUUUUUAUCAUCAGGGGGAGGCAGGGGUUUCUCUGUGUGUCUUUGAAAAGAUAAUUUUAUAAAUAAUAUCUCAUUUUAAAAAGAUAAUUUUAUUAUACAAAUAUAAUAUCUGUAAACAAAAAAUCGUUUUUUUUUUUUGUUUUAAUUUAUCUAAAUACUGUUCUUUUAAAAAUAAUAUUAUUUAAAUAAAAAAGAUCUGGGUCAGAAGUGAGAUGCAUAUAGAUAAUGAGAAUUACAUGAAGGUCGUGACUCAUGUGAGAAAACAAAUAGAGCAAGGGAAUAAAGCGUGCAACUUUUGCAGACAGAAAAGGAACUUGUGGAUCUUUACAAUACACAUUUAUGGUAUGAAUUGAUUAGGCAUUGUGAAAUAUGGGUAUCUAAUCCAGGCUUUUACAUUAAUCACUCACCUCCCCAUCAAUCUAUAUAAUUCACUUUGCUUUAAUUUCUUGGACCCAUCACCCAUGAAGCUAAAAAUUAGACAAAAUCAGACAAUCAAUAAACUGCCAAAAGUCAUCCCCACUCAGGAGGAGGAGUAGAAGGAAGGAGAGGUCCUUUUGGGGGGUUGUUUCAAGCUGCAAUUUGGGAUGUCUUUUCAGGUAAGGCCCUUCUCCUUCAUGAGGCCUUUGAUUUGAAAGCUUGUGGCAGAAAUUUGAACGCGGGUUCUCCAUUUGUAAGAGUUGUAACAACACCUCAGCCUCAGCCUCAGAGUCAUGGACAAACUGAGUGAGGUGGUGUUUGGAGGCGGGAGUAUGUUGAAUAAUGGAGUGGGGUUUUGCAGGGUGUGGGUUGGGUGUUUUGGUAGUAGGUAUGAUGUGCCAUAUGGGCAUCAAAGGAGGAAUAAAGGGGAUUGUUGAUAUAUAACAAUUUUAACAUGGGGCCAUGACCAAAAAAUUCAAAAACCUCCAAAAGCCAAAAGGAAAAAGGUGUUCAAGUGGGUGCAGCAGCAGGAGCAGAUCACUCCCCAGCCCCAUGUUUGCUAUAUCCCUUUCUGACUUGUAACACGUGGGUGCUCUCCACACAUACAUUUGGCACUCAACCCACCCUCCCUUGUCAUUCUCCAUUAACUACUCAGUGCCUUUCUACAGUAACCUUAUCUCCAUUCCAUUGAUUUCUCUUUAUGUCUUCGAGAAACAGAAGAAAAAACAAUGAAUACGAGAUUUGAAGUGCAAUGCCUCGUUAAAAGAAUUCAUCAAAAACCCCAAUCGCCUUUAGACUUGAUCUCUAAUAUAUCUUGUAUCAUUUGUUGUCAUGUCUAUGUCAUUCAUCUAUUUCAUUAUUAUUAUUUUGCAAAAAAGGAAAAACAAAAGGAAAGGACUCUACUUGGACCCACAGCGGUGUGAUUAAAGUUUUUGGAAUUAAAGGAAAUAAUAACAGAAGCUUGAGUCCGGACGUGUUCUUUGAUUUGGUUGUAAUUCCCCUUUUCUGUCCCUUGAUUGCUUUGGGUUUGUCAAACUCUCAAAAAUCUUGACUGGGAUUCCUGCUUAAAAAAUGGGCAAUCUUAAGUUUGGUUGAGUCUGGAUUGGCCUACAAGUCAAUUUAAACCUCAUCUUAAAGAGCAUGUAAAUAUAAAAUCUUGUAAGUUGUAACACACAUACAGGGAAUUGUAACACCAGAUUAAUUUUCAAAAGAUGAGCAGUAUAGAAUGUUGGAGUACAAAGGAAUAAGAUUUUUCUACUGGCAUGGAGAAGGAAGGAGGAUAAGAGGAAUGAGUAAUAAACAGAAAAGAAGUGUCCAAUAAUGGAAAUUCAAGCACCCACAAAACGCUACAAAAGACCUGGACAUGCCUUUCCAGGGAAGGUAGUGGAGGCCAUGUUGACUCACAGUGUAUCCGCUUCGACCGCACCACACUCCUCUUAAACAAAAAAGAAAACCGACGCCACCCUUUCUCUCUGGUAUGUGCACAAUCGUUUCAUUUCGAACCUCUGUUUGGUUGCUCAGAAAAUGGAAUAUACUUUAACACUGGAAUGUUUACUAUCCUAUGCUUUGUGGGUUUUCUUGGGUUCUUCAAAAAGUUUUAAAACUCACCUCGAUUUUACUACCUACGUCUGUUAUGCUCAGUUGAGGGCUGGAGGGUCUUUGUUUUUUUUGCUUGCUUUGGCUGCAAAUGGUGGAAAGUCUUGGAUUUGGAACGUUGACUUUUUCUGCUCCCCUUGGUCUACAUUUUCCUUGCAACCAAACAGAAUGUGUUACAUGAAUGUUUUCUCAGCCAAUUUCUGAGAUGGGUGUUCUUCUGUUUACCUUUUUUUUUUUCGUUUGACUCUUUUUGUUGGGGUUGAAGCUUUUGAUUGUAGAAAAGAAAUAAGUGAUAUGUGUAAUCGGGCUGCUAUUAUAUUCAGUUUUAAAGGACUUCUAGUGCUUUUAUCUUUGUAUGGUUAUUUGGGUAUUCAAUAUGGUUAUUUGAUCCUCUAUUUGGUUGCCAAGAAAGAUGAGGAAAGGUAAAAGGCAAAAAGUUUUGAAGUUAAAAUAAUUGUACAAGACUUGAUUGUGUUUAUGAUUUGGUUAUAAGUAUUAAAGUUUCCCUUUCUUUUCCCCUGGUUUCUCAGCAUCCAAACAGAGUUCAAUCUUGCUUUUUUUUUUCUGUUUUUUUUUUUUUUUUGGAAUUCUGUUCAUGUUAGUCGUUAAAACAUGAGGUCUUUCUUCUGUUUUAAAUUAAUUCUGUCCUUCAACCAAGAUGGGAUAUAAUAGAUUUUAUGGGGCACCAACGAUUUCCACUUUGGGGUGUUUUAAACAUAGCGGUCGAAAUUUUUAUUUUUGACUCUUUAAUGGUUAACCCAAUUUUUGUGUACAUUUUUCCGUAUUUUUAUGCAUUUCCAGACGGUUAAGCUGGAUUUAGCUUUAGAUAGAAGUGCAGCAGAGAGAUAAAGUUAUUUCUCCCCCUUUUUGGGGGGGCUUUUAAAUUGAAGGAUACAUGUCUGUUAUAAAAUGAAAGAGAUCAUUUCUUUUUCUUUUUUUCUUUUUUUUCUUUUUUCCUUUUUUGAAUCGUUUAGGCAUUUAUCUGGUAACAUAUUCUCUGCAAAUUUGGAUGCUGUUCUACUGAUGGAGUCUUGGAGCCAUGCCUUAGAAAAGAAGAUGUUUUUGUAUUCUGAAGAAAUGGAUUUAACAACUGAUGCUGUUGGGAGAAGUAGAAAGUUGCUAACAGGAUGGGACAUGAGAACCCCUUUUAAUUUUGAAAAUGAUGGGCUUGUCUUGGAUAGAGACGCAGUUGAGAGCAUGGAAUUCAUGGAAUUGGAUUCCCCUGAUUUGGUGAGAAAACUGCUUCCCAGUAACCCAAGUGUGGGGUUUUUAAGUGGUGAGAUUGGUAGAAAUUCUAGUAAAAGAAUAGUUUCUCCUACUAAUAUGGUUACUUCAAAUCCAAUUUUCGGGGGAGAGGAGUCGAGUUCGAGGCUUUCAAGUUCUUUCAUGGAGUCAAACAGUCAAGAUUCCUCAAUAAUUGAUUUGAAACUGGGGAGAUUGGCUGAUUGUAUAGAUGCCAAGAAUAACAGAUGCUCAAAAGAGGGAUCAGUUUUAUCUUCACUAGCUUCAUCCAUGCCGGCAAAGAGAGCCCGCACCACGAGUGUGUGUUCUCAAACUCCUCUCUGCCAAGUUCAUGGUUGUAACAUGGAUCUUAGCUCCUCGAAGGACUACCAUAAGAGGCAUAAAGUUUGCGAUGUUCAUUCAAAGACUCCCAAAGUUAUUGUUAAUGGCAUUGAGCAGAGGUUUUGUCAGCAAUGUAGCAGGUUGGCCUUCUCUUCUCUAGCCUUCACAUUCAUUUUCUUGCCCUUAAAUUGCAAUACUUUCUGUUGUGCAUGAGAUUAUCCUUUGUCAUAUUGUAACAAUCUCAUUUGAUUCAUUCUUGCACCAUUUUACAAUGGAUUCUGUCUUAAUAAGUGAUAAAUGUGUCAGAAACCAAACAUACAGGUAUGCCUCAUGUACACAGGCAGUAUCCAAAGCCUGUAUCAUAGGUUUAGAUGUCAUUUUUCAAGCUUUUAAGAAUUAUAGAGGUUUCAGGUUUGCUUUGCAUUCAGGUAAGAUCUACAGUUGGCUUCUAUUAUAAGGCGUAACUGAUCUAUAUCUAUGAAGCUUUUUAAACUUUUUUUUCUUGAUGACUUGUAAUUUCACCAUUUGAGUUUAUCGUUCAUCCUGCUGAUGUAACAUGUCAGUUAAUUAAAUUUCUUAGUUGUUAUUUUCAUUAUUAUCAGUUGUAAUUUUGGUUACCAGGUUUCAUUUGCUGGCUGAAUUUGAUGAUGGUAAGCGGAGUUGCCGUAAACGGCUUGCAGGUCACAAUGAGCGUAGGAGGAAGCCUCAAUUGGAUACUCACUCUGGUAAACCACAGAAACUGCUUCAGUCAUAUCCAGGUAUUAAUUACUCAAGCUAUCUAAUAUGGUUUAGGAAUUAUAAGUUCCUUUCACAAAUGUAUCUAUAUAAACUUCUACAACCCUUAUCUUGACACUCUUGUUGCAUCUCCUACUUAAUUACUUGAGUUUGUUUAGGACAGAAGUUUAUGUAAAUUGACUGAAAUUAUAGUUUAGACAUUACUGUAUUUGGUGAGAUUCCCACAAAAGGUACUUGUUAGAUAUUGGAUCUCCUACUUCCUCUUAUGUAGUAUGGUUCUUUUUGGCUCAUGUCAUUUUCCAUAUGUUGGAAUUGAAAUUCCAAAUGCAGAAUCUUACUUGUUUUACUGAGGAAACUUCCUUAAACUUCAAAGUUCAACAAAGGAUCAUGAAAAGUACCAUAAAGCAAUUGGUUAGUUUUGGAAGACCCAAAGAUGCCAAGAUAAAUUGUGUAACUUCUAUAUUUUAUGUGUUAUACUUUUAUGCAUAGGACUGCUCUAAUUUAAUUGAUCUAGGUGCUUCGUAAGACAUGAUAGUGAAAACCAUUUGACAGAAAAAACAAAUAAUAGUGUGGUUAGUUCUGAAAGAAAGUUGAUAAAUAAAUUGUGUAACUGUAUACUUUGUUUAUUAUUUUGAAAUAUCUUGAAGGAUGAGUGCUUCCACUGAUGGAGUUUGUUCAUAAAAUCAAGAUUAUAUUUGCUAUUCUUUAAUACCACUAUAGUUUUGAAAGAUAUCCCAAAGUUGAGUCCUUUUGCUGGGUCAAUUUUCAUACUUGUUUAUAAAAGGGAAGUUUUCCAUCUUAGGAAUACUUUCCGCUUCCUUAUUAAAGCAAGGAGGGAAUGCCCAUUUCACCACCCAUAUCGAAUGAUUUUCUAAAAGCAAUACUUUUAAAUAUUAUAUAAAGUAAGCUAUCAAUGCCCCCUCGACUACGCAUUAAAUAAUCGAUUUUGGAUCCAUCUCAUAGGUGGACUAUGAGCUUUGAGUUUCCUCGAACAUUUCAUAUGUUUUGUGGUCCUAGGGAGUCAUAAUAGACUGAUAGAAAUGAUUGCAAAGCAUCAAUGAAGGAAAAAGUGUCUGAUUUGCAAGUGAGGGGAGAAAGGGAGUGUCUGUUUGCGACUAAGUAGAUAAAAGAGGCAAAUCAUGGAGGAAAGUUUUAGAAAAUUCCUUUAAGGAAACAGAAAUUUUCCUCUCAAAAUAGUACAUACUUUGAAGUGAGUAAGGGGAGUGUCUGUUCAGCAAAUGCACUAGUACAUACUUUUCGAAGUCCUAGAUGUGUUCCUGUGUUUUUCUUUGCUUCAUUUUCCUUGUGUAAACAAACCUAGGAAAAUAAAGCGAGUUUCCCUUCUCUUCCCCUCCUUCCCUCUCUGGUAUUCCCUUUUCCUUUCCCCUUGUAUAUAUGUAAUGAAUCAAAUGAAGGUGUCAAUGAUAGAUUGGAAAUUACUUGAGGUUGCUUUGAGAUACUCCCUUACCUUUUUAUUAUUUCUCUGUGUGACCUAAAAAACGUUGUAAAUUUUAAAAGCUUUCCUUCAAUACUCUAUUGCCCAUUAUCUUUUCAUAGUUCUGAAGUUCCAUUUUAAGACUAGAAAUCUCACCAUUUUCUUAACAUUUUUCAUGUUUGACAGGCACCAGGAUUCUGGGGACUUCCUUAGCAAAGAGACCACCCUUUGUUUUCCAGGACAUACUUCCUGGCAGUGUUUAUUGUCCAGAUGGAUAUGGACAAGCUAAUCCAUCCAGGAGCAUCAAAUUAGAAAAGGAGCCAAUUUACAGCUCUCAAUUAGUGAUACCUAUAAGUGGGCAGUUGCCUCCAAAAUCCUUUCUCCAUCUUUAUGGCACCGAGAGACAAUGUCCUCCUGGGUUUCUAUCAUCUGGAACUGAGGACUGCACUGGCUUUUACCCAGCAUCAACAGUUCAAGAAUUACCUGGAGUCUCAAAAUCCAAUUGUGCUCUCUCUCUUCUGUCAGCUCAAUCGCAGGACUUGUCAAACCAUUUGAUGGGAAUUCCAAUGGCUAACCCCCCCACAGUCCAAGGCUGUCAUGCUCAUUACAGUGCAGUUCACAAUUCUGACAAGCCAAUUGGGAUGAGUUCUUUGGAAAAAUUUGCAUCAAAUGGUUCCUAUUCAUCUAGGAUGAACUCAGUGGAAGUUGCCCAGAUGGGGCCUGUAAUGCUCCCUGAUGGUGGUAAUGCUGUUAGCUUUGAAGUCCGCACAAACAGGAAUUUUCAGGGAUCUGAUUUUCUGAAUGCUAAGUAUUCUCACUCUUCUGAACGUGAACCUACAGUUGAUUUACUCCAAUUGUCAUCACAUCUUAAAAGAGUAGAGUGGCAGAGGAAUUAUAUGCAUGUGAAGCAAGAAAAUGAUGAUUUUCACUGUUUUCCUACUACUUAAGGGCUAUUGAAGCAUCAAGGUAAGUAAACACGUCCAUUUGGAUAUUCUGUUUAUUUUUCCCGUGCUAAAGUUCAAAACUGUAUUGAUAUUUCUUUUUCUCAUGCUUGGAAGUGAGAAUGCUUUUCCAUCUAAAAUAUUCAUAAAUGGCAUGCUAUUGGAUGCAUGAUAGCCUGGAGAUCCACAUGCCUGUGAUGGUGGACAUUGAAAUCAAAACAAAGGACGAUAAGAAAUAAAAUUUUAAUAGAACUGUAUAGCAUGAUUGAAGACAUUAAAGGCAAAAGAAAGGAGCACUUGCGUGGUUGAGCUGAAUAACUUUUUAAUGCUGCAACUAAAUGUGGAUACUUGGGGAAUGUGAUGAGUUCCUCUUAACUAUGAGGAUCCAUUGGUUCAGAGUGGGAUUUCUCUCAAUUAUGUAGACGCAUUUCUAAUGUGGAUUUUUUACUCGUGAUGUGAUAUCUCACAUCCACUAGAGAGAGAAGUUCUGCUACAAUAUAUAUAGUGGGUUUCUCUUAACUAUAACUAUGUAGACACGUUUCAAAUCCUGAGGGUCCGUUUGGUCCAGAAUGGUUAAUGUACAAGGAGUAGGUCAUCACAAAAAAAUUAUCUCUAAUUGAGGGUUUUGAGAGGCACGGUUCCUUUUAACUAUGUAGACACAUUUUAUGGAACAAACUGAUUUUUUAUAUGUCAAUUUACCCAAAUCUACCUUGCAGAUUAAAUGAGAAACAUUGAUGUCAGUGCAGGUUAAGGAGGGGCAGCUAAAGAAAGGGCUCAUGGCAUAGAGUUAACUAACUAGAUUGAUGCACUCAAUAAAGGGCUGGGGAAAUCUUUCGGCAGUGUUAACGAUGCUGUGCCUUUACCAACAGUGAAUAAUUAACUGUUUGCUUGGAUUUGGCAAUGUUAAGUCCUGUUUGUUUCAUUUCAUAUGUUAUUGCAGUAUGCUGCUUCAAUCAUUCCCAUUUUACUGAAGAAAAGUUAACUGUUCACUUGAACAAGUCCCUGCUGUGUGAUAAUCCUGUAUUCCCCUUUAAAGGAGCAAGCUUCAGAUCAAAGGACAAACUAAAAAGCCAAUAAGAAGAAAUACAAAACAAUGCUCUGUUUGAAGAUUAAAACCUUUCAUGGGCCUUUUGGUUGAUUACUUGUUAGUAAUAUUUGAAAGUCUCAGUUUCUUCUCAGGGUUUGAUCCCCCGAACAGUAUAUUGAAAAGAGGAUGCCGGAGAGAAUGGUAUCAUCAUUACUAGUAUUACUGUUAUGAUUAUCAUGGCUUUGGUCUUCAUCAUAUCAUUAUUAUUUGGAACAAGAUUGGUGUUUCUGCUGCUCUUGGAAGGCCACUAUAUUUGUUUAAAUUAUCCAAAUAUUCGGGGAAUCUAGACCAGGCCAGGCUUUACAGAAUAUUUAUAUCCAUAUAAAAUGGAGAUCUCCCUCUUACAAUAUCUAUUACCUUUUUCCACUAUUAGUCAAUUGAGGCAAAAGAAUCAUCAUCUCAUCCACCCAUGAAGCCACCUAUAGUGCUCAGUGCCUUUAUAACCAAUGAGUUCUAAACCUCCAUUCAAAAAGGUUAGUCGGAAGAGGCCAUCAAUGCCCAUUGGAAUUCAAUUUGUAACUUUCAGAAAGAGUUGUUUCUCUUGGUUCAUAAGGCAUGGAAGGACCAUGCCUUUGUGCCUGUGUGGCUAUUUGCACCCCACUACUGUCUUGUCAUGUCCAAGCACUCAGAAUGAUAUUGCCAACUUCACAUACUGUGUGGACACCACUGAUGGCUAGUUAAGAUUCUCAGGAAGUAUUGCAAACAAUGUCUUAGCAGAGCUUUUAAGCAUCUAUACUGCACUUUAACAUGUGAUCACUAGCUCAAGGAAUAUGUUAACCAAACCCUUUUUGGGGUUCAAAGAAAGAAGAGAUGUUAAUUAAAUAAACAGGAAUCUCAUUUUUCAGUCAAAGAGGAACCCAAGAAUGACCCAAAAAUCUGUUGGCUUAAUCCAAGUCCAGAGAUAUUGUUGAAGUGAAUCCAUUCAUUAGUAUAUCAUAAUAAACACACCAAAAGCAGGUGAAGAAACUAAUUAAGAGUAAAUGAUGAUAAGCCACCACCACUCUUCAAGGGAUAUAAAAGCUCAAAUGCUGAACAGAAGUAACUUUCACAGCACCACAAAGCCCAAAUGAAAGGAUUAGCAGAUAGUUGUUAAUACCAAAUGCUACAUGAUUUCGACACCGAUGCAAUAGUUCAUUGAGUGAUAACUACCGUUAAGCAUGAUUAAGAAGUAAACAGAUAACAGAGUUUGAGGAAAAGCCAAUGUGCUCAAGUGGAUCUCCAAUGCUUCAUUUUCAUGGCAUUUCCCAUUACACUAAAUUACUUCAUUCCUGCAAAAUCAAAGCCCUUAAUGUAGACCAAACCAAAUAUCUCAGUGGCAUGAACUAAAACUCUAUGCAUUUUCAAAACAGAUAGAAGAUCAUGCCUGCUUACAUUGUUACUGCUCUCAGAAACUGAGCCUGCUGGUGAAUUUGGGAUGUACCUAGCCCACUGUGGCAGGCAGGUUAGAUUAAAUGAAAUUGAAAUAAACUCGUGUUGCUUUGGGGAAGAUGGUUUGCAUAAAUCUUAAGCUGAAAGUUAACUCACAUUUUUCGCUGCUGCACUGAAAGCCUCUCGAUGGGGUAUCUCAGGAUUGGCUACUUUGAUGCGUUGUAUUUCCUCCCUUUCAAGGUAAAAUAUACGUAUAAAUGAAUAUAUGGCACAAAAACAUUACUUAUAUUUAGUCAAGAGUUCACUUCUCCUUACUUCAUAAAUCGAUUGUAAGCAGAUGGGAGUCUGUGUUUUUUUUCGGGUGCUGCAAAAACAAUUCAAUGGUGAACCAUAAGAAAUAUGUGAAAGUGUGUUUGUUAUGAUUCAAUACUGUAUAGAAGAGGAGAAGGAUAGGGUCUCCACGUUUUACAACAAAGGGUGCUUUUGGGGACACUGGCUCGCUGGAUGUUGAUGAAGAUGAUGAUGAGGACUGGCCCUUUCUGAAAUCAUUGCAAACACCCUGCUUCUCCAUGGAUAAACAACUUCCCCAUUAACAACAAUCACAUCAAGAGAAAAGGAUAAAGAAAGAUGUUUAUUCACAUUCUCAAGUCAAUAAAAAAAGGCUAAUAUUUUACCUACUAUUUUGUAUUACUUGAUCAAUUUAUAAGUGGCUAGUAAUAGUUCUUCUGCAAUAUAUAUAUUUGUCAAGCAAAACCAUAGCUAAUUGAUGAACAGGAGAAAAAGAAAAAGGACUUCAACAAAAACAAGAAAUCUAUAGUCAUAUAUGGUUAUCAUUUCUUAAUGGGAGAUACAGAAUGGUGGUGAGGAGAGCGACCUGAAGGCUCAUUUGAUGGUCAAGGCAUUGGCCCUGCAGUGGAGGUCUGGUGCUAAGAAAGGAGAGGUUACUGCAGUGGCCACAUUUCACUGUCACAGUGUCCAACAGCCGUUUGCAUGGAAUCCCAACCUGUAAAUAGCAAGAAUAAACUGCUCAUGCACAGAGAGAUUAAAAGCACAUGACAAUUGUUGUAUAUGCUGCACACACGCCUCAUAGCCAUUUUAUCCAUAGAAUGGAACCAACAAUAACCUGUUCUUGCUCGACCUUAACUCAUGAGAGGUUAGCUGGUGUGAUUUAUAUCAAUAUUGUUACUACUACAUUAAGGAAAAACGAAAGAGGAAGAAGAAGAAUACGUGUUUCUUCAUUAUCAAAGAUUAAAAGCAUCUCCUAAGAUUGGAUUUGAAAUUUGCUUUCCAUAGAUUUUGUUUCUGUAAUCAAAUAUACAUAUUUAUACAUAGAGGAAAGAAAAUUUAGUCCAUAUGCACUAUGAGGAAUAUCCACCGCCUCUCUAGACCAUGCCCUCUCCAGUAAGGGUAUUACCAAAAUGAUUCUUGCAGAUAGUGGAAGAUGGAUAAGACAGAUAAGAUACAUAUGUACAUAUAUAUAUUUAUUGCUUUCUAGUUGGAAGAGUGUGCAUGUAUGAUGGGCGUCUACGUGAAUUACCGCAAGAACAGUGUUACAGAAGUUGCACCGGACGUAGCAAAGAUGCUCAGAUGGUGGAACCAAAUCCAUGGUGGCUUUCUCUUCCGGGUUCAUAGAAGAAAGGGAGGAAGAAGAAGAACAAAGAUAUAUGGGUUUGAAAUUUGAAGUGUGAGUAUGAAAGGUGACAAAAGAAGAUCUAGGGUUUGUGAUGAGAAGAGGUGGGUGGAGUUUGAAGAUUAGUGUGGAAUAUCAAAUUUAGGUUACCAUACUGGUCAUACUUCCUGGGCUAUAGCCGAGCUUGCAGAUAUAAAAUUAUACUUGCACACGGGUGACUUCUUCACUCUCCAAAUUAUCGUGAUAUAUUCACUCUUCUUCCAGUUCUGAGACAUCUCACAUAAAUAUAUAUGUGUAUAUCUCAACCAGUGUGUAGAGAAAUCCUAUAUAUCCAAAUUUGUGGAGAUUAGUAUAUUUCCACUGAGGCAUGUCAAGAGAAGAGAAAUUGCGGUGAAAAAUAAUUAUACUCACACAAUCACUAAUAUGGAUUUCAAUUUGUUUCCAUGCACUUAAUGACUGGGACUUGACGCCUAUGUUUCAAGUUUAUUUGGUUUGAUGAUGGGUGGUUUGGGCCCAAUGUUCAUCAAAAUCAAAAUCACACACAUUGGUGGAUUCAAACCAUGAUGUGGGAAUCCAUUUGACAGGCCUAGAGUACUAACAGUUAGUCGUAAACUUGAUGUGAUUGUUGUAACUAACAGUGAUAAAUUAAGCUAAGCCCCCAACUAGGAAUGCUUCCAAUUCCUCAGCGCUGAAUAUUGUAACAACCCUUCAUAGUUUUAGGUAAAGAAACAAGAGUAAAAAUCAUGAUAGAACAGUUGAAGUUAGCACUUGGACAAAGUGAUCAGGAUAACCAGUGCUUGAUUAAGGUUGUUAUAUAGGAGACUCUGGGGCCUAUAACCCAAAGAGGCAUCCAAUCCCAUCCCAAAAUGAUGAACUACCUCUGAUAUAUGUGGCCUCCUUACAUCACCUCCAAGCCUAUGAAAUGAUCGGAUUUGGCUAUCAAGACAGAACCCCACCUUUAGUGUAAGCUUUUAACCACAUUAAUUGAACUUAAAUCUCUAAUAUUGAUGAGGCCCCUAUGUACUUGAUUUCUGAAUGCACUCUUAAGUAGAAACUUCAUUCUAAUCAUCUAUCAUAUAUGUUAAUUGACAUGUGAUUUAACAUUUGUUGGGUACAUAUUUUACUUGUGUUGGGGACUUGUUUGGUCAUAUCUAUUAAUCAAAAGAAGCACGCAUGAUAUUUCUGCCUCUUGUAUCUGCAUGAUCCAAUCCCAUGAAACUCAUUCUUCUGAAUUAAAGAAGAUUAAAUGUCACGUGGGUCGAAAAUAUCAAGAGAAGUUGAAUGGAGGAGAAGAUCAGACUUGAGAGAGAGAAUCAUGAAAAGAUGGUGGAGAAGGAGAGGAUAUGUAGGAAGAAUGCGAAGGACUGUGGUGGACGAGUCUGUUGUGGGUGCAAGUAUAAAGAUGGAAAGAUGAAAAAGACUGGUGCUAAAAUCACAUGUCACUGUCGCAGUGAAAUCGUGUCAUUUUGUGAUGGGACUAUUCCUCCAUUUCCAAACAUGGAAAGGAUGUGUUUUUACACUUGAUCCCUUCAACUUUCUUUGCUGGUAUAACUCCCACUUUCCCAAGGCCUCCUUCCUCCAGGCCUCUCUUUACUCAGAUAUUCCCCCACCCCAUUUUUCCUUUUUUUUUUUUUUUUUUGUCUGUUUUUUCCUUCUCUGAUAACUUCACCAGAGAGCACGAUUUUGUCUCCACGAGAUUCCCAUGUCUUCCUCCACACCUCAACUACACACUUGAUCAUUAACGGAUUUGGGCACAAUCAUUUGAUCUAUGCUCACCCCCUUUUCUAUCUACUUUGAGAAACUUUGAUUAGACCUCUCUCCAUGAUUCUCUUCUUUUUAAGUUUCUUUCUCAAGACCAUAUUCUUCUUUGGUUAUGGAUUUCUAAUCCCAACAUUCACCUAUUUUUCUUUUGAAUAGUUCAUAUGGCCAAGUGAUCAAUAAACAAGAGUAAUUUUAUUGUAAGGCCCUUCCAAUCCUAAAUUCAAGGUUAUAAGUUGCUGUGGUCAACCAUCCCAAAAUCAUAGUUUAUGCAAAUAUCAGUAAUGGAAGAACCAUCCUUCACCAGAUUAAUAGAACUUUUGGGCACGGUUCUCACCACGCCCACAACUAUAAGUGACAUAUGUAUGGUCAUGGACAAUCUGACCAUGGUUAUAAUUAUCGUUUUUUGUUAAUUACUACUAAAGCUUAGUGACUAUAACUUUGUUUUCUUGUAUUGAUCAGCCUUACAUACAUGAAUUUGCUUUAUCUGUAAAUUUCAUUCGUGCAUACACUUUUGUAUAAAUCAAUUAAAUCCAAAGAACCAAAGAUAAGAUCAAUUGAUGGAUUAUCAAUUAAUUAGUAAUCUUUGCAUCUCCAUACCUAUUGAAAUAUCAAGAAGAGAUCUAUGAGAGAAUGGCCUUUUGGUUGUAUCAGUCACAGCAAUUGCAACCAUGUAUAUACAAGUACAACAGAUCUACAGUAUUUUACGUAUGGACAACACAUAUCAAGGCACAAGAAAUGGGUAACGGCUAAUAUGGUUGGGCAAAUCAUGUGAUUAACAAUUUGUGUGCAGAUCUUUCAUGUAAUUGAUUGUUGUGUAAUUGGUUCAAAUUAUUUUCUUUCCUCACAUGCCUUGGCAAGAUGGUGGAUCCUUGGAGAACACCAGCUCUGGCUCUAGGUGCGAGCAAUCUUUGAUGUAAAAGAGGCUUGGUUAGUGCAUCAGUUAGCUGGAAUGAUGAGAACUAAGACACUUAUGUUGGUUCAAGAAACUCGACCAUGGUGUGAGUGGUGAUGGUAAUGUUGAGUUGUUUGGUUUCAAAUAUAUUGUUGCAAGAGUGAGUGAUCAUGGGAUGAAUACAAAGUUUGGAGCAAGAGGGGCAAUGCUUAAAGAUAUGAGACUAGGAAGAGAAGAGUUGCUUACCAAUGGGUCUUUGAGCACCAUGGUUUUUGGCUUAUAGGAUGAACUAUCAAAAACAAGAAAGACAUGCAUGAGUAGGUCCCUAUUUGAAUAAGAUGUAGAAGAUGACAUAAUGGCCGUCAUUGUUGAGCAUAAGUAGGAAAACAAAAGGAGUCAUGAUUACAAUAGCAAUGUGAGUAUGAGGCAAGUCAUGUGCAUGAUGGGACCAAGAUUGAAUGGUGUCGUUGGAAAAUACACAUAGGGAUAAGAAAGCAAGAUUCUAAAAAUGGGAGAAUUGAUCCUCUAUAAAGAUGCACAUGUCGAGAGAUAUAUAAUUUAUUGGUAGACGGAUCAAGGCAUACAUAUAUGGACUUUGAUUUCAUAAAGACAAAGGUUUGGAUUUAGGUUCAAGUUUAUGAUGGGUGUAAGGUUUGAGUCAUAGAUAAUAUGAACAAUAAAAAAUCUUAACUUUAUUAUAGUUAGGUAGUGCACCAUUGAAAUCACCCUAUUUUGACUCUAAGUAAGAGAAGUAUUUGAUGAAAUUUUAAACUAAUGAUGAUUAAGUAUAUUUAACCCAAAACCCUAUACACACACACUAUGCAACUUAAAUUAAAAUAUUUUAAACUAACAAACAAUUGCACACUUAUUCAAUCAAAGCAAAAAAAAAAAUUGCACAAGUAGAAAAAUAUAUCAAAAUAAAGUGAACAAUUACAAUACAUUUAGAAUUACUACAUGUAGCCAUCUCAACUUCAUGAACUCACACUAGACCUAGGUUAAUGUUAAACCAUGGUUUUUGAAGUAAAAAUACAAUAACCAACAAGCUGAUCAACGAAACACUAACAUUAACUCCAAUGAUCAAAUAUGAUAUAUUAGACCAAGGUUUGAUUAAUUUCAAUUUUGAUGAUUAAAAACUAAAAAGUAAGGCUUAGAUAUAAUAACUUUAUGCUAAGUAUGAUUAGAUAAGAAGAUUUUCAAAAAGACAAUCAAGAAAAUAUAUCAAAAUAAAAUAAAAUAAGAAGAAUGAGAAAACCUCAAAGAGAUAUCCUAAGUUAAUUUUUCGAUCUCUUAUACUUUUAUUUAAGUAUCUAAAAUAUUCCAAAUAUCUAAAUUAAUUUUAUUCUUUUGCAAAUUGGAUGAAGAAUCCUUCUAAAUGAAACUUGUGAUUAGUGUUAUUCAUAGUUAAAAAUGUUUUUAAAAUGUUAAGGAGUUUACUUAGUCAAGUUUCUCUAGGGAUUUUGUGAUAAAAAUGCAAAAGUUGCAAAAACUAGAGAACCCCUUUAUAUAUUUUUCUAAUAAUUUUUAUGAAAAAUAAAAUUGAUUAUUUCAAAGAUAAUACUCAUGUUUUGACAUGUAUUUCAUUACUAAGAAGUUCAUAUUGAAACUAACCCCUUAAAGGUUACUUCAACAUCAUUUUUUUGUUAUCUAUUUAGCCCGUGGUUGACCAAAGUGUCAACUAGUUGAGAUGGAAACAUCGACUUGUUAAAGGACUAGUCAACCAAUUGCUCGAUUAAACGAGUUUUUGGGAUCUAACAAUUACUUGUCGAUGCAUUAAAAACUUAAUGGUUAGUAGCUAAUUCAAUUGGAAGGUCAACCAAUCGGCCUCAAAUUGUGCUUAAAAACUAAUUUGGAUUUCUAACUCCUAUUUAAAGGUUCCAAACUUUAUGUAUCAUAGGAGAAAACUUCAAAUCAUUAUUGAAUCUUAUUUGAAUCUUAAAGAAAAGUUUUUAGUGCACUUUAUUCCUAAAUUUGCAUUUCAUUUUAGUGCACCUCAAUCUUAAUUUUAUCUUAUAUUCAAUUGAGCUAGUUUGUAAACUAGGAGCUCUUCAUUCAAUUGUAAUCUUAUGACAUAUUGCAAAGUGUGGGAUACAUCGAGAGCUUAAGAGUAAAGCAUCUCUUCAAAGAGUGUUUUAGAACCAUAUAAUCCAAACAAGAUUAAUUUAAACUUUAACUAUAAAAGUUUUAGUAGAAAAGACUCAUUGGAAUCAUAAUUCAUGCAUAAAACAUGAAAUCUUAUGUUAGAAGCCUUAUUAGUAGAAUCUUUACUGGAUUAGAACUUGAGGAGAAGGGAGUUGUACCAAACCACUACAAAAAUUUUAAGAAUGCAUUUUUUUUAUUUCUUAACUAUUUAAUGUGAGAAAUUGUUUCAUUUAUUGUUAUAUGUCAUAUUAUUACUUAAAUCGUCUUUUAUAUAUUUAUAAUUGUAUAAUUUGUAAAAAUAGACUAACUCCUAAUUCAUUCCUUUUUGGGUGUAGAUUUAGAUUGUGAUAUAAUAAUGAAUUAGUAAGAUCAUUAUGAGUAAAUAUUAAAAUGUUCAAAUAAAUUAAAUUAAGAAUCACACAGAAAGUGUAAUCACAUGUGUUUUGUACAUCUAAAAUAAGACUUGUGCAAUUGGUUAUAAAUAUAAAAAGGAUGAUCCGACCUAAUCUUACCUUAUAGGAGGUUGGUAGAAUUUUCCUAAAUAAACUUUAGGACAUCUAAUACUCCAAAAAGUCAUUCUAAGACCUUAAAGUUCUAUACAUAAAAUUUUGCUAACCAAACCCUAAAUGGGUAAAAAAAAAAAAAAAGAUGUUUUUAAUUAAAAGAAUCCAAAGCACCCUUUUAAAAGUAAUCAUUCAAGCUCAAAUAAUAUAAAAUUCAAAGUUCGUUAACAUUAGCAAUAAAUUAAAAUAAACCAAAAUUGACUAAAUACUCAAAACUAGAUCAAUCGUUAAUGAUCCUCAUUGAAAUGUGAAUAUUAUUAUUCUUUUCAUAUAUUUUUACCAUUUUAUUUUUUGCAAGAGUAUUGUCAUUGUUUUUAUAAGUUUUUACAACGUUAUUAUCGUGAUAACAUGUUAUAAUCUCAUUCUCCAUUUGAUUGGGUUUGGGGUUGUAGUGACAUACACACAAGUGACACAACCCACUAACCGAUCUUGAUUUUACUUCUUUAUUUGACUUACACCCUUAAGAAAAUGUCUCAAUAGCGUGUUGUGAAAGUUUUGUUCACUCUCUAAGUAAUGUGGGACAUCACAAUCCAUUCCCUUUGGGACUUAACGUCCUUAUUAAUACACUUUUUGUUAGAGAUCAAAUUUUGAUACAAUUCCUAUCAUAGCUCCACUCUACACUUGAUAUUGUCUUAUUCAGGGUUGCAAUGAUGCACACACAACCCACUAAUCAGCCCAAAUUUUACUUCUUUAUUGGGCAUGCGCCCUCAAAGAAAGAUCUUGAUAAUGUGUCAAGAAAACCCUCCAUAUAUGACCCUUCCCCAUUCACUCAUCGAGCAAUAUAGAACACUAUAUGGGAGGUGAUUAAGGAAAAAAUAAAUAAACAAAAUUACAAUUAUGGUAAUAAAAUGACAUAUAUAUGUAUUUUAUUGUAAAAUUAUAAGCUUUCAUUGUUCCAUUUUAUUUUAUUUUUUCAACUUAUCUCUCUUUUUAUUUAUUUUAAAAGAUAAUCAAUCAAUAUCCAUCAAAGUUUAAAUUUAAACUGGUCAAAAUGUACAAUGAAAUAUGAAUCACUAAAUGAGGGUAAAAUUCAAUGAAACCAAAAUAUAAAUAAAGAUGGUAUUAAAGUAGAAAACGAUAAAACUUGAGCAUAUGAUGGGUCUUUCGGACCCAUUCUUUGAAAUAAAUUAAUUUGCUUUUCAAACUUGACGGAUGAAAGUUAAAAGUCAAAUGCCGGACUAGUGAACCAAUCAUCCAAUCAAAUUUCAAAGUCACCAAACUACCUCAACUGCUGGAGGUGACUGCAAAUUUUUGGUUUACUUGUAUAUACGUAUAUCAAUAUGCGUGUACAUAUACACGUUGUGGAGGGAAACACAGAGCCCAAAAGAUUUUUAUAAGUUUCAUUCCCGCCAUCAGAACGCACCCACACCCGCACUCUCUCUCCUGGGUUUUGAAUCGCCUGUGCUGCUUUCGAAGUUGACGUCUCCUGUUCUUCUCCAUUCAAUGGCGAAACCUAAAGAAGAGAAAUCAGACGAUCUAGAAAUCACCUCAAUCGGAGCUCUGCACAAAGGUCCCUGGGACAAGAAGUACUGGAGCAGCUCUAGGGUUCGCUUUCAUUUGUUCCCCUUCAAUUCCUUCUCUUUUCCGUAUUGUCAUUUCUGAAACAUAUAAUUUUGUUUUAGAUAAAUCGUCUCAACUCCAUACAGUGUAUCAGUCCUUAUCGGCUCUGGUUUUAUGAAAUUAACACAGGACUACGUGAAACCGGUGUUCUGAUGAGGGAUACAAUCGAUCAUAGCCCGUGAGCAAUGUAAUUUUGUGUAAUUUGGAUUCAAAAAUGAUGUGAUAAGUGCAUAGUAGCUCCGAGUCUGGUUUGUUAAUUUGGGGCAAUACGAAGGUGUUAGGCUAAGGAACAAAAGAAAUCAUUUAACAGAGAUUUGAUGAACAAUGUCAAAGCAAAAUGGUAAUGAAGUCUCAAAAUAUUGGCAAUUAACUCUUGGUGAUGGAUAAAUAGGACUUAAGUGCUGAUGAGAAUGACUAUGGGUGAGAUAUAAUAUGAUUGACUGUGUGUUGCUGUUGAAAGAAACUCGAGUACAUAAUGACAAAAAUGGUUCAGCAUGGAGAUUUGGCUUCAAUGAGUGUUUUUAUAGCAGUCCUAAGUGGUAGCAGGUUAUGUAUGCUAAUCGAAAUUGGUAAUUCUUUUUUGUAAUUUGAUAUUUAGACCAGGGUUUUGUGGGAGAUAUAUGAUUUGGAAUUGACCAUGAAGAGGCUGCUAUUUGCUAAAAUAGUGGUUGACUCUUGUCCGCAGUUAUGAUUAUUCAGAAAGUUUUGAAAUUUAGGUUUUUUUGUUUGAAAGGUUUUUUCUUUCCAAUUGUUGGGAAAUUUAACUAAUUUGCAUGCUUUAAUAAUUGAAGAGAUAUGUAAUUGGAAAAAUGCUUGGGUUCUGCUUUGUGAUCGAUGCCAAUGUUCUCCAUUGAUGAUUCACAUUGUCAAAAUUGAUUUGUAAUUCUCCUAACAAAUUCUAGGUUUUUGAAGAUUGAUUUAUAUUGAUAUAUUUAUUAAGUUUAAUAAGCUUGUUUGUAGUUAGUUAAACUUUUCUUUCAGAUGAAAACUAGGAUGUGUUUAAACUUUUGGUCAAUUUUCUAUCGAAAGCAGAGUGCUAAUAUUUAGUUACAAAAUGCUUUUUCCUAUGACUUUUAUAAUGUGAAAGUAGCAACUGGUAAAAUUUGUGUUGUUUUAUAGGGUAAAGACCGCUAUCCUUAUCCAGUCGGGUACCAAGCUCUUCGGACUCAUAAUGGGAUCAGAUAUAAGAUGGAAAUCCAUGAAGGUCCCAAAGGGCCUUUAUUUGUGGUUUGUUCCCAUGAACAAAUGCUUUCUAUAUGUGCUUCUAAAUAGCUUCAAGUUGCAAUAUUACCUGGGCAGAAAGUUUAUGAAUAUCCCCUCUUUUAUGCAGAUCAUAUCUGCUGAUGGAAUCUUGUGUUCUGGGCAAACUCCAGAUAUUGCAUGGGAGAUCUUUCAAAAGAAAGGCUGCCCUCGUUUAAAGACAUUGCAUGGGAAGAGACUUUCAUGCAAGAUAGAUGGUGUGGAGGUAAAUAAGUAGUUAACAUUCCCGUUGCAUUAUUGGUCCUGAUAAUUGUUCCAUUAUGUUGUUACUUUUCUCAUGUUGUCAAUAUGUAGAACUAUCUAGUUAAACUUGGAGGGAAACUUAGGUUAGAUAGGAUAGUUUGAUUGUGAAGCAAAGUUUUUAUCUAGAUGAUGAUUGUCAAAGUAACUUGAUGGUUGAUUGUGUAUUUGCUAGAGUUUGAGAUAAAAGACCAUGGUGAAUUUGGGCUCCAGAUUCAAGGUGUCAUAGGAUGGUAUUAGAGCGAAUUCCUAAUCUAGGUGUGGGACUUUGAGUGGGUUUUUUUAGUGGCCCCUUAAUCCCAUGGGAUGCAAUGAAGAUGUUGUAUCUGCAUAAGAGAGUAAUUGUGAUAUCUCACAUUGGUUAGGGAAAAAGUUCUUGACGCUAUAUAUAUAAUGGGCUCCUCUUAAAUAUGUAUACUCAUUUUGUCCAUUGAACCUAAAGUAGACAAUAUCUACAUAAGAGGGAGGGAGCUGUUGCAAGACUCCUAAAGAUGGCUCUGAUUCUAACUAUUGUUCAUUAAUAAUCAAUUUCCCCUACUUGGGUAAUGAACCCUUAAUUGCACUAAUAUAGUUCUUUUGCUUUUGGUACACAACGAUAUAUUUACCUAUCUAUCAUGCGUGUACAUAUUACUCUUCUAUAUCAACACACUUGCUUAUAUAUAGGGAUGAUUCUGUUUGUAUAUGAGGUUGAUUAGUGAUUUAUGGUUUGAGUGCCUUUCUUGAGCAAUUUCAUAUGAUCUUACUUAAUUUUGUAACAACAAUAAUGGAAGUCAAAUAUUCAUAGAGUUACUUGAUGUUAAACCACAAAUUUGUCAAGUAUUCUUGCUCAACUUGCCUGAGCAAAUUGUAAAUAAAUUAUUAUUAUUAUUAUUUGGGGUUUGGAUUUUUAGAUGUUUCAAUGAUCUUCUGAUUAUGUCCUAUUAGUUUAUAGGGGCUAUACCCAUAUGGCAUCACUAGGUAUUUAUUGAUAUACUAUUACUGAAAGAAUGUUACCCAUGUAAGGACAAAUUUGUAAAAUAAAUCAUGUUCAAACUGCAAUAUUUUAUCAAACAAUUUAAUUGGAUACAACACUUAUAUUUUUAGAUGAGAUCAAUCAAGUUUUUACUUCUAAAAAUUCAUUUUAUUUUCAUUUUUAUAAGCGCCCCCUAAGUUUUCAUGAAUGGAGAUGUUCUAAUUUACUCUUUUUAAUUUUGCCAUUCAUCCAUCUUAAUACACCUUUCAUUCUCAUGAAUGAACACAGUCAAAAGUUGUUUUUUUUUUUAAGGGAUUCAUCAACUAUUGUUGUUGCCAUGUUUAGACCUUGUAUGGCGACUGAGCUCUUUUAAAUUAUCCUUCUGUUGUUGAUUUGAUUUGUUAUUUUGUCCAUGUGCAGAAGUUGAACAUUGUGCUUCUUUUAGUUUAUCUUUAUGCUAGAUGAUGUUUAAUUUUGUUGUCUAUUAACACACAAGAUUUAUUUCCUGUAGUUUCCUCUGAGUUAAUCCUUUGCCAUCCAAUGAAGAUAUAUGAACAGUUAUCCAAUCUAGAAUUUGGCAUAUUGUGUGCUGAAUAUAGUUCCUUCUUUUAAUGUGGUUACGCAGUUCUUUGGGUUCAGAAAUCCAUUUGUCCAGCGGUUACUUCGGGAACUGGUGGCAAACGUCAAUGGAACAGCAGAACAGACUUUGCUAUCAGCCAGCUUCUGUAAUAGAGCAUCUGGAGCAGAGAAUGAUACACGACUUCCAGAUUCAUGUACAUAUCCUGAUCUGCUACCAUAUUUGGAGAAACCACAGACUACAGGGAAGAGAAGUAGAAAACAGAAAAAUAUAAAUAUGAAGUCGAUUAGUGGGUCUGCCCACAAAAGACUUCGACCUCGAGAGCUUACAGAUAAUUCUGUUGCUUCAAGUUCCAGACAAAGGAAUCGCAAUGGUGAGUAUUCCUUGACUUCUUCUGCUCUAAUGAUGAAUAUGACAGUUGUAAGCAUCCAGUUGAGCAAAAAUCUGAAUCCUUUUCAGCCAAAGAUGGUUUGCCUUUGGAAACUGUUGGCCUUUGUGAUCAUCUUAGAGAGGAAGCCCUCAUCCUCCAAGAGGAGGGAAAGCUUGUUAGUUCUGAAAAUUAUAUAUCCACUAGAGCAGUUAAUAUCCCUUCCAUUGAGGAAAAACCUGUAAGUUUAUCUAUCUUCAAAGCCAAUAAACUUUUGAAUGCAUCAAUUUCUCACAAUUUUCAUAUGUUUCUACUCUCCCACAUGAUACCACUCAGAGUUAUGCUUUUCCAAAGCUUGUUUGAUGUUUAUUGAACUUUUUUAGGUGAAAUUAUAUUUGAUAGUCCUAUAUACAGUUAAUUGGUUUAGCAGUAGAAACAUUCUUAAUUUCUCACAGCUUGAUAGGUCAAAACAUAUCAAGGUGCAAGGGCUCGGUUACUCAACACCAAUAGAAGACAACAACAUGGAAACCAUAUUUCCAAAGAGUUCUCAAGGUUUCAGUAAUGUGGAUCAUUGUGCUCCUGACACCUUAGAUCAUAUGCAAGGUAUUGCUUAUCAGAUGUUUCAGUGUAAUGUGGUUCCCACAUGAUUGGUGUCAAAUUCUUGUCUGAAUCUACCUUUUUUUCCUCCAUUUUGGUUAUUGACAGUAGUCCUAUGCAGAUAAUACUUCUGCUUAUGCUUCUACUGCUCAUAAGGAAGGUCCUGACAAUGUGAAAGAUGAGCUAACUGCAGCUGACAUGACCAUUUUUGAAGGUUCAGUAACUGAAUCUCACCUGGAAGGAGAAGUGGGCACUUAUACUUCAAAUGGAAGUUCGGAAAGAAGUGAUUUUGAUUCAGUUGGUCAGGAAGUAGCCAAGUCAAUGAUGACAGUUCUACUUCCACAAGCACUUCCCCUGCUCAAGGAGACCUCAAGGAAGAAAAAGGCAACAAACAACCAUUUGGGACUUUCUUUCUAUAGAGCAGAAUCUCUAGAUGAAAACAGUGGAGCUUGCCCCAUUGUGAAUGUUGCAUCUCCUGGUAUGGUUUCACUGUAAACCUGUACAAUUUUUCUGAUUAUCCUGUUGCUCAUGUGUCAUAGUCUCUAUUGCAUCCUUAACACCAAAAUUCAUUGAGUAUCUUGGUCUUUCCUUUUUCUUCCAGUUGCACAGUAAUUUUCUUCUUAUAAAUUUGCAGCUCUAGUGCUUGCUGAGAAUUCCCCUGUGGAAAUGGAGGAAAAGGUGCAAACGUUUAGGAGAGAUUUUGAUCCAGUUAUCCCAAGUUUUGAACAUGUCAAAUCUGUUAUUCCCGACAGUUUCGAGGAUGAUCAAUGUGGACAUGAUUCAGCUAAUGGACCACUGCUCUUUUCUGAUAUUGCUGGAGCUGAUCAGGCUUCUUUUGAUAAAGACACGUGUGCUUGUGACACUUUGGGACAAUUUAUCAAUGUUGAUGCGUGGAAGGAGUCAUCUGUUUGUCAUGUUGAAACCGGUGAGAGAAAAGAUGGUUUCUCAUGCAGUAAAGCAAAUGUGGCUUCAAAGUUGGACGAGAACUCCAUCCACCAUGGAAUUCUUUCUGUGGAAAGAGAAAAGACUUUGCUUGAUUGUGCUGAAGGUAUUUUCAUACUUCCUAACCUUCUUUUCAUUAGAAAUGUUUGAUGUUUAAAUGGUGAGAAUAUUUCCAACCUGAAGCACCUAAUUUUAAUCAACUAAGGAAGCACCAAAUUCUUCCACUAGUCCUUCUAAAGGGGAGAAAAAUCUUAGCCAUUUGCGUAAAUUGGUUCCUGUCUUCAGAAACAGCACACUUUGUAUAAACUUUCAUCUAUCAUAUUGGCCAAAAUUUUAGAGAGCUGCUGAUUGUGAGAUGCACAACCCAAGCUUAUUCAACUUCAUUUAUAGCACUUUUAUCCAUUCAAAAUUUCAAAUCAAGUUAGAGUUUUAUUUCUUAUUGAUUUUCAACUAAUCUGAAUGUUAGUCGUGUUUCUACAAGUUGUAGAUACAAGUGGUGCUAACACAAAGUGCAUGGUGAGUUCUGUUCAAAUAUCAGAGCAAAGCAUCAGUAGUAAAAUGGAUGGUGCUGAAGCUGGUAAUCAAAUCUCAGAUGUAGCUCCUUUAACAAGAAAAUACAAUGGUCUCCUCUCAGAAAGUAUCAUAUACAGAAACUUUGGAGAUGAUUGCAUCCUUGAUGCUUAUCCUACAGUGGGACCUUUACUUGCUGCAGAAAUUCAUCAAGUUAGUUCUUCUGCUAGCAGCCCAGAUAAAAAAGUUCUAUUUAGUCCUGAAGUGAAGCUUGAAGGGCAGCACUACAAUUUAAAUACAGAGAAAAUUGCUCUUAACCCUGAAGGUGUGUUCUGUAAUAUGGCUCCUGUUUCAUCUCAAAAUCAAGAAUUUAUUUGCACAUCCAAAUAUGAUGACCCUUACAUUUUUUUUUAUCCAUCUGUUUUACGAGUAGAAAGUUGUCAAGCCUACAUUGACAAGAAGCUUGUUGAGCAACAGAACCUUGUAAAGUUAAACAGAUCUGUUCAGAAAGGAGGAACAAGUUUCGGUGAGAAUAACAUGUCUAAUGCCGAGGAAGUUCAAGCUGGUACAAACUUGAAGGCCCACAUUAAGAUGGAGGUUAAGCACGAUCUAGUGGGCAACACUGAGCUUGUGGGAUGCUAUGUCCACCCCAUGCCUGUUUUGUCAGUGUUAUUGAACACAAGAGAGGAUGAAAUCCAUAUUUGUGUCUUAUGUGGCCUUUUGGUGGAUAAGGACACAAUCUUGUUUAUUUACAAAGUUACAAUUAAAGAACCAAGGUUGCAGAGCCCUACUUUUGUUGGUUACACGCCAAUUAUAUUGCCAACUCUAAAGGACAGAAGUGGUGGAGAGGUAAGUUAUUAUAUCCAUGCUUUCCGGGAAUUCUUAUUAUUGUCCAUUGUUUGUUCAAGCAGUAUGUGGCCUGCUUCUUGUAUGUUACAUAUCUUUGGGUUUUCCUUUAUCAGGUUGCAUUGGACAGAUUUGGUUUGCAAUUCACUCCAGAUGGGCAGUCCCUUGUUUUACUAAACAGUAUAAAAACACCUUAUUGCCGGUAGACUCUUUUUCUUCUUUUAAUUUUAGGUUAUUCCAAUAUUUAAAUGAAAUCAGGGGUAAAGACAAACAUUCUGAUUUCCCAUAUUCUCAGGGAACAGAAGAUCCCCUGUCUCUGCUCUGCAUGUAAGUUGGAAUGCUUUGAGGAGAAUGCAAUAAAGAUUGUGCAAAUAAAACUUGGUUUUCUUUCAGUUGUGGAAAAAUUGAAAACAGUUGACAGUGUUCAAUGUAUAUUAGUCUGUGAACCGAACCAUCUUGUUGCUGUUGAAGAGAGUGGGAGACUUCAUGUAUGGGUCAUGAAUUCAACAUGGAGGUUAUUUUUCUUAAGAUUAUCUGUCUAGUUUUAGUUACUGUUAAUUGUGCUGCCACUUCCACACCCUUGUUUCUGUUGUCUACACUAUGAAUGUUUUCCUCUAUUAUGUAGGUUUCUUUGUUUUUCAUUGAACUGUUUGCAUUGUCAAAAUGUGGCUCCACUUAGCUUGUACUUGUACUUUAAUGAUUCACAAUCAGAUUGCAGAAAUUUUUAUCACUAAAUUUGUAAUAAAUAAAGCAUAUUAUAUGAAAUCCAUUAAUUGAGGGUGUUGUCAAAACCCUCUAGUCAAGUAUUCCAACCAUAUAAAUUUGUACAUUUUGGCUUAAUUUUCCAUGGAACUGGAGAUUUGCUGCAAUCCUGCAGGUCAUGAGUUCCAUUUUAUCUUUCUUUAAAAGGACUAUCUUAAAGCAUUGAAUGCUGCUGAUGAUCAUAACAAUGUAAUAUGGAUGUAUAUCUACCUGUGAAAUUGGUUCAAUGGUUAGUAAGAAAAAACUUGAUUACUAUGGUAACUUUACCUACAUCUGUUUUUUUCUUUUUUUUGAGAACUUGUUUACGUCUAAUAUUUCAUUAGUUAUGAUUGGUAUAAGUUAUAGAAAAUUUCAUGCAAGGCCUUAAAGUUUGUUUUCACAGAAAUAUUGAGGGUCUGGUAAUACUAUUUUCUUGAGUUGGAUAUCAACAAGGACAAUGAGAUCCAGCCAGUCUUGGUAAGAUUUAAUUCCAUAUCACUCCUGCCUCCAUCCCUCUUUUAUCUUGACCCAGUGAGAUGCUAUCUCAUUGUGGAUGAGAUUUAAGCUCUUCAUCUCUUUAGUGUUUCUAAGGAAAGUGUAAAUGAAUGUCUAGUGAUGGCAAUGGUGAAUAUUGGUAAUUCACGAAGUCCUUGUGUUCUUCUCAUUAAUUAGAGAUAGAUGAGUUAUUCAACAGUGCAUCCAUGAUUCAUUGACCUUUGCAGUUGCAUGAACUUAAUUUAAAGUAUAUAUGAUUUAUUUGAAGCUUAAUGUUUUCUAAGUUCUUUCUCCUUUUUUUUUUUUUUUUUUUCUUUUUUUCUGUAAAACAAGCUUGUUUGAAUGUUGACCAUCCUUGAUAAAUAGCUGUGGCAUAUUGGUUCAUGUUUGUUAACCCUGAUGGUGCUUAUUUUAGUUGGUAUCUUCUAUUGGGACAAACUAUCCUCAUUGUUAAUAAAGUUUCUUGUGUUUUUGAUUCACCAUAUGCAGUGUACAGACAGAGGACUUUAUUAUACCAACUUAUGAUUGUGUAUCUCCUUGCAUAGUUGAGUUGAAGAGAAUUCCAAAGUGUGCUCCUUUGGUCGUUGGUCAUCAUGGUUUUGGGGAAUUUAGUUUAUGGUAUGCUGCCUUCUCUGCUUGCAUAUUAGUUUCUUCCAUCCAUUGAAAGGCUACUGAUAUGGUAAUUAAUUGGCUAGCAUAAUUCAGGUUUAUUAAGAUACAUCAUUAGUAUUAUCUGGAUAAAAAGCUUCUAUCUCAUUUUCUGCUCUAGUUUUGACUUAUUUGCACUUGAUACUUAAUAUCAAGUCUCGGCAAAAUACUUAAGAUUGUCCUUAGGAAAAUGCCUGAAUAAAGUUUUGAAAUGGUUUGAAUUGAAACAAAUAUCAAAUUAUCAUAAUUUCUUUUUGGUUCGGAAUUUUGAUUGCUAACUGAACUGUCUCUCUACAUUUUUUGAGUGGUAACCAGCUUCUUGUACUUCUGAGUUUCCCUGUCUUACCUUAAUGGAUCCAAUUAUUUCUGUUUCCUGCAUUUCAAAAUAGGCAUAGGUGUAGCCCAGUGUGCUUAAAUCACAUGGUGAGCAGUGAUAUUUGUUUUUUUUUUCCUUCAUGUGCAAUUGAAAAUUUUUUGCAUUUCCAAUCCGCUACCAAGUUAUAGGGCCCUAAUUGAUAUCUGUCAAUUCAUUGAAAUUGAAAAGUUAAGGAACUCUGUUGUCUAGAUCAAUUUCUUAAUGUUAUAACUUCUAUUAUCAUAUUCAUAUCUCUGCAGAUUCUUCUGUAUUAUAAAUAAUAAAGAUCAGGCUUCUAUGUCUUAAUUUUUGUUUCUAGUGGAAACUGAAAGGUAUUGUGUGAAGGAAAAUGCCUGUAAUGAUCAGUCAUUUAAAAAGGAUUUAACUUGAUCCAAAUGUGAACUUAUAAUAAGCUUGAUAAAAAGUCAGCCACUGUGACUAGUGAAUUGUUUUUUUCCUCUUCUAAAGUGAGGAAGUCCUGGACCAUAGGCCUUGGAAACAAAGAUGGAACACACAAACACAGAAUAACCAUGAACCAGCUGCAUUCAACUAUUCUAAGGGUCAACAAGUCCUCAUGAUAAUUUUUUUUUUAAAAAAAUUUAGUAAAAAUAUGGCCUUUUACAUCUGGCACUCCAGGAUUUUAUUUUCUGUUCUUUGGUUAUAUUUUGCUAGUAUUUUUUGUUUCAUCCAAUUUGUUAUGUUGUGGUGCUUCAUUGUAAUUACUACCACUAAAAUUUCUGGAAUGUGGAAUCAGUUUGUAUCUUAUUACAACGUUUCCCCAGGUGAGUUUAAUGUGAUUGACUGUUUAGUUUUUAUUGCCACUUAUGGUUCUUAAAAAUUCCAUUUUUUUUUGUUUCUUUGUACUUUCAUUAAAUUCUCUUAUUACAAAGUUUAUCAACAUUUAAGCUGCAUCAGCCUGUCUUGUAAUUCUUGUUAUUCUUGUUAUUUGAUGAUGCACACCUGUUUUUACUUCUUUCAGGGACAUUUCCCAACGCAUCCUCAUAUCAAGGUUCGCAAUGCCAAGCAUUUCAAUUUUCGAGUUCAUUCCAAUCAGCUUGUUUAGUUUCCAAAGUGAGGUUCCUCUUUCCAGCAAUCCUGAUGUGGAUUUGCACAUAAACAAAAUAAUGGCUGCAACAAAAAUGUGGUUCUCAAAGCACAAUGAAAAUUACACCUUUCUUCCAUUAGGGGGGGAAAGCAUUGCUGUGUGGCUUCUUGUUUCAACUCUUUCUGACUCUGACACUCAGCAUGACAAUCAAAUGAAUGAUUGCCAAACAAAUCCAGUUGGAUGGUGGAGACUAGCUCUCCUGGUGAAAAAUAUGGUCAUCCUGGGAAGUGCAUUAGAUCCAAGGUGCUUUCUAGUGUUUUAAAACAGUAUCUAAAUACAACAUAUACUGUUUCUGAUGUAAUGCUUCUGCUUUAUGUCUUUUUAAAGCAUUGGGAUGAAGGCUUCCCAGUUCUAAACAUUGAGGGGCACUUAAAUGUUCCAUAGAAAAGAAGUGGUUCUGUUGUGUUUUUGCAUGCCCUUCUGAAAUUUUUAAUAGCAUUUGUAAUAAAAUUGUUUCAUGGCAUGCAUAGGAUGAUAUUUAAGAUUUCAGGAAUGAUGCGAGUCCACGUUUUUGGAAACAUAAAUCAUUAUUGUGCCACUUUGGUCUUGUAAUGGUUUCACCUUAAAGGUGGAUUUGAUCCAGAAAGCUAUGGUAACUGCAAAGUGAUGUUUUAAUUUCCAAGGAACAUUUAAGAGGCCCCCACUUAAUAGAUUAUUAUUUAUUACUUUAGAUCCUUUUAGUACAAGGAGAUGGGUUAAUAAGACAAGAAGUACUAGUGAAUGUUCUUUUCUGGGAAACUACUAUGAGGAAUAUACUUCUGUAACAUUAAGCAUGAACCUAAAACGUAUCAUGCACUUGAAGCUCUGAUGGACAAUAACUAGUGUUGAAACUCUUAUUUUAACUUGAGCCUUGCCGGGAAUCCUCAGCUUAUUUUCUUAUUUUAAAAGGCUGAUUGACUGAUGUAGUAAGUUUUUAAAUCAUCUCACUGUGCAGGGCAGCUGCUAUUGGUGCUUCAGCUGGUCAUGGGAUCAUUGGUACACAUGAUGGACUUGUGUACAUGUGGGAAUUGUCUACAGGUACUAAGCUUGGCAGUUUACACUAUUUCAAAGGUAUGUUACACACCAACAAUUUGACUUUUCUCUGAUUUGCUCUUCCUUGGCAUGAAAUUGAUGAUGAUUUAAACUAAGAAGUACUGGUUUUGCAUAAUUAGUCAUGUACCUUCAUCUGUUUCAUUUUCAACUGGAAAAUAAUAUGCAUCUGCCUCCUUUCUGACCCUUGUAUUUUUUACUAAUUUAAUUUGUAGUUUUGUAUAUUGCACUACUACAUAAUUCUUCAGGUAGGUUAUGUUAACUGUCAAGGUUAUUUUUAGGAUAAAGAAUGCUUUCUCUUGAUCUCCAGAUUUUAAAAAAAUUUCCAGAAAAUGGGAAGGAUCUUCAUAUUUUAUUUGUGUAAUAUUUUGCAAAUAUUCAAGUAACUUGCAGAUAUUACCAUAGUUGUGAUAUAAUGCUCAUCUGAUGGCAUGGUGUCCUCUUUUUCCAAGAUUUUGUUGUCCAUAAAAACAAGCGGAGCUUUUACUGGGUCUUUUUGGGUUGAAAAAUGCUUUGACAAUGCAGUGGCAUGUGGAACAUAGGUUAGAUAAUAGUGCAUAAUUUGCUGAGGUUUGACCUUUCGAAUGAUUCUGUCUUUUAUGUUUUAACUUUGGUAUCAGGGGGUGUGUCAUGUAUUGCUACUGAUGAUUCAAGAUCAGAUGUUUUUGCUGUAGCUGGUGAUGGAGGUCAGUUGCUGGUUUACCUACAUCCCCAAAAGGAAUCUUGAAAAUUAACAAGCAUACAAGCAUACAAGCAACAAGUUGUUUUGUCAUCUUUUUAAAUGGUUUCAUUGUAUGCUGUCUGUGAGCUGGUAUAUGGAUUCCUUAAAGCGAUAGACUGUACCCUGACAAUCUGUGCAAUUUAGGUUGGUUAGACAUUUGUACAUCUGUACUUUCUCUUCUCUGCAAUUGGAUAACCCAUACACCAAAUAUUUCAUCCCUGGUAUAUGGUGCAAUGAAACUCAAUAAUCUUGACAAUUGUUAAUAAAAUUUGAUUGAUUUUUUCAACCCAGAUGCCUUGUCUCUAAUCUCUUUUUUAUAUGUAAUACGAAUGUUGAAAUUACCUAAAUAGUAUUCCUUUGUCCUGUCAUAACAAGUGAUGCAAACUUUGGUAUUUUCAAUAAUUACUAAUGGUCAUAUAGCCUGAAAGCUGCCUGAAAAAGGCAGUGAGGUAUAACUAAUGUAUGGGAAUUGAGAUCCAUCCGAUGGAUAUCAGAAUCGCCCAAUCAAAUGACCCCCAAUUCUCAAAUCUAUGAAAUCUUGGGACAAACAAGUGUACCAAAAGUUAUAACCAUGAUCCACCAAUGUUUAUGUCAUUUAAGAUCUAUUACACAUUAGGGUUGUUGAGCUGUCCCUGGAAUCAAUCCCACGAAGUUUACCUACAUUUAUCGGACAGCAAGGACAACGUGGGCAAUCCAUGGCCCAACGUUACUGAUUUGUUGACUUGUCCCAGAGACAAAGGAAAAAAAAAAUCACAAAUGGAUUAUAAUUUAUAACUAGAGCUAGGUGAAUUUGAUAUUUAUUUUCAGUGAGCUAUAGCUUUUAUUUAGUAAAGUAUGCAUUUGUUAAUUUGCAAAAUUUUAUAUCCUAAAAUUUCCUAGCUUUGGAAUUUAAAGCCUUUGGAGGCAGAAAGAGCUUUUGCACAUACAGAAAAGCAGGCUCCAAAUGAGCAGGAGAAUAUAAUGCAACGUGGGAAGAACUCUACCCACCGACACCACAGGAAAGUAAGCUUGUGGGGCAUGAGAUUUUUUGACAUGCUUCCUGGGUACAAGAGCAGAGACCACCAGAGAUUUGCUUGUUUGCUUUAGCCUUUUACGCCUGUGGGCUUCAUUUCAAAAUUUGAAACUUGCUCUACUCGAAAACCCAAAUCAUCACCCAAAUAAAGACAAAGGAAAAUUUGCCCCCCACUACAAUUCUCUCAAUCAUUGCUCACACCAAUCAAGUAAUUGACUCCUUAAAUUUCAAAUCCCAUCUCCUUUAUUGCUCUAACAAGAUAGUAUAAAUAGAUUACAUCCCCAAAUGCCAAAAUAAAAAUGCUCGUGGAAGAAAAAAUUUGAAACACCAGAGAAUUGAAU
rnacentral:lncRNA from 1 species